AUAAACGUCACCUUGGACCCUCAUAUGAAGCGAUGGGGCUGGGGCAUGAUUCCGGCCGGUGCCACCAGUGCUAGGGCUCUCCUUCUCAACUACAACGACCUGUCAGGCGCACUUCCGGCGAACAUUGGCUUCUCCAAAUUGAGCUACUUCGCCCUCGCCAACAACAAGCUCACCGGCCCAAUCCCGUCAUCAAUCGGGCAAGCAAAAGACACCCUCUUCGAGCUCCUCCUCCUCAACAACCAGCUCUCCGGCUGCCUCCCACACGAGCUGGGCAUGCUCACCAAAACCACGGUCAUCGACGCCGGGAAGAACCAGCUCACGGGCCCGAUCCCGCCAUCCUUCUCCUGCCUCAGCAGCGUCGAGCAGCUCAAUCUGGGCGAGAACCGCCUCUACGGCCAGGUCCCCGACGCGCUCUGCAAGCUCGGCCGCCUCGCCAACCUCACGCUGGCGGGCAACUACUUCUCCUCGGUCGGGCCGGCGUGCUCGGCGCUGAUCAAGGAAGGCGUGCUGGACGUAAAGAGGAACUGCAUCCCCGGCCUCGCCAACCAGAGGGCGCCCGCGGAGUGCACCUCGUUCAUGAGCCAGCCCAAGGCGUCCUGCCCUGCCGCGAGCGCUCCCGUGUCCUGCCCUGCCGAAGCUGCCGCGGACGCCAAGAAGAUGGCGCCGGAGGGGAGGGCGGCCGCCAAGGACUACGCAAGCUACGUGACGUACGCCACUCUCCAUGAGUGAGCUAGGCGCCACGUAGUGCGUACGGCUUGUCGGCGUGGCGCAUGCAUGCGCUAGGGGACGCCGUGCCUCGUCGCUGGAGUAAUUUGUUUGCUAUUGUAUUCAUUUUUCUUGUAUUUGUUCGGUUGGUGUGUGUGCGCGCGCGCGCACGUGAUCGUUAUUUGUUUUUCUCUUCACGUGUGGAUGUCACGUCUAGAUCUUGCCCUCUUGUACGUACUGUACUGCCAUGCACGUCUGUUGUGUGGUGGCAAUUAAUUUGGAUCGUAUCUUGCUUUGUUCUUUCACGAUGUCUUGAAAUUAUGUGAAGUUCUUACAUUGUGCCAUUGCUAGUUACCAUUGCUCGGUGUAAAUGUAUAAUACGGUCAACAAACCAUGCAUGCCUCUCUGUUGUACAAACUUAACGACCAAACUCCCCAGCAGCACCUGCUUAAUUACGUGUGCAUUUCCGAAUGUAUAUCACAAAGGUUUAUGGUCAUUUGUGGAUGGAUUGUUCUCCCAUUGUUCUACAAGCCAAGUAUGAACCGCGCAUGUUACGGGCCGGUUCGUAAACGAUAUCUAUUUCCGCAUGAUAUCGUAUAUGAUGUGGACAUAUCUUCUGCCAUUACACCCUUUACACCGGUAGCUAUCACGCAAGGACCAAUGAGAACUCGUACUGUCGUUUUUUAAUACAUAUAAUUUGGCUAAUAAGGAUAUGGUGCUGCCUUCAUGUGUUGAUUUGCAUGUAUUAAUUCUGGAAGGAAGGAAUUGGAGAAUGGUUAAGAGAUAUCAAGUGCACAAGGAAGACCGAGGAGCACCUAAUACUCAAAGCAUGAACAUUGUAUAGCCAUAAGACAAAACGUUGAUCUCAUGGUCUAUCUUAUGCAUUGUGAGGGGUUGGCCAAGACCAAAAGCUAUGGCUUGGCCCCAAGCUUAUGGCUAGCCAUAAGAAUAGACAAUGCUAUUUCUAUUUUUUCUCUCUUUUAUUUCUAUGGAUGACAUGUAUACUCUUAUAGGACUCAUCUUAUGGACUAUGUGACCACAUACAUUAUGUACAAUGACAUAAGCUUGUGCUUUAAUUUAUGAGUCUCAGCUUAUGGUCAAAUCGUCCACAAGCAUUGGUGAUGCCACCUUAAGACAUCGAUGUAGUACUGGUACAACUUUUUUUUAGACAUAGAUUUUAUAAACCACAAGGUAACUCAUAUAAUUAAGAAUUACAAUGAAAUCUCUUGAAGACAUCUUCUCUGUGAUAUCAUGUUUUGCAACAUGAAAUUCUGCUAAGGCUUCAACAUAGAAAUUGCAAUCAGACUAGACCAGCAACAUCGCCACUGGUAUUCCUGCAUGAACUUGACUAUCUUUAAAGGUUUCGAAGAGCCCUUGAGUCGCUCAUCCAAAAGGAUGAGAAGCCAUGAACAUUGAACGUACUUGGGCCGGGAAAGACCCCCUAAAGGUGCAGGUCAUCGAACCGCAAGAUCUUCAUUGGAACGCUAGAGAAGGAUUCCAAAAUGACAAAUGAUAAAAUCAACAAAAAUACCAUGACACACUAACAAAAACGCAGCAGAUACGUAUAAACGGAUCUGCGAGUACACAAACCCAAGAUCCGCAAUAUCGGGCACACAAAACCUACGGGGACUAAAAAACUCUAGCUCCGCAGCAAUGCCCCGUUGAGACACCACUAUAGCAGAGAAAGAAUCAAAUUACCUUUAUUUGCGAUGGCAUCGCAACCUCCGUCAUUGAGUUGCCGAUCAAGACCAAACAAAUGAAAUAAACAAACACUUUUAAAUACUCUUUGAAGAAACCGAGAUUCCCCCAGCUCGCAGCCGCCAAGACGGCGGCCUCCGGCAUUGGGAAUGCUAAGUCUACAACCGUAACUGCUAGGCCACAGCUCUAGUGCGAGACAAGACGAAAGAAAAACGGCUAGCACUGGUACAACCGGUUGGGCUGAGCUGUGCAGGCCAUGCGAUUGAUGCAUGCAUGGAUAUGGUCUUAGUGUCCGCCCAUCACGUUUCACGUUUUCACCGGAGAUCGACUUCGUAGCGGUCAAGAAAACUCUGCAAAUGCGCACGUCUUCUGCCAGUAUAAAUAGCCAUCGCAGUCUAGAGUUAGAAUUUGGGGUUUUGUUGAAUUGUUUAGCUUUAUUACAAUAUACAUAUGCGAGACAUGUAGGAUUACCGCCUUGUUCAGAUCAUCAGUGGAACCCCAACUUGUUCAUCUAUUUCUCGUUCCUAAAUUAUUUCCGUAAUUUCAGAUUGCAAUUUAUCAUAGUUAUUGCUAGUUCUUCAUUAUCUGCAGGAACUCGAACCUCCUUGUUAACCAUCGAAAAUUGGUUUAGCGAUUGCUUUAAUAUAUCAUCUGGUACAAUAUAGUCGGAUCGUAAAGGUCAAAAUCCACCAAAUUGAUAGUUACCCCCACUCUUAUCCAAAGAUCGGAACAUCGGCACAUCAGUAUAGGUGUAUUGUGUACGCGUAACUGCACAAAAAGAAGGCUUUAUUUAUGAUACAUCGUAUAUGGUGUCCGCUUAACUGCUCAAAAAAUAUGCUUUAGUUGGACUAAAUUUAAUUACACUCAUGUAAACAUACUAAUCCCUCGGAUACAUAUUAGUUGUCCCUGCAGUUUGCAAUUAAUAUGGACAGGAGGGUACUACUAUUCCAGUUACGAGAGCAACUUACUGGCUGCCGAAGUAAUUGUUUGCAGGCAGGCAGGAUCGAUGGGUUGGUCUGGUUAACGGGCCCUGUAAUUAGCGAACUGCGGAUCGCCUACCAGGCCUGGCAGGCCUGCAUUGCCACGAGCCCACGACAUGUGUAGCAGGCCGCGCGGACGCUCGAUGGGCUCGAGCCUAUGACGCCUGGGCGGCUGGGCCCAAAUGAUUAUAUCAACAGAGUGGAUGGAACUGUAAAAAAAAAGUUGAUGGAACUACUUUUGUUUUUCGCUCAAAAAAAGUGCGUGCAUCAUGAAGGAGGAGUUGAAUGGAUUGCAGACACUUCUCCUUAAUGAUUGCCCUUAUGCGUAUUAUGUUUAGUGCUAUGCACAUCGUUUACAACUUGCCCUUGUUUCUGCAGCAAAAGAUGUGGUUCCGAUCACCCAAUUUUUUCAGAAACUUCUCUUUAUUAUAAACACAGUGUACUCCUCUUCAAAGCGCCAUGAUGAGCUGCAUGAUGCAAAAGUGGUCGAGAUUGCACGCUUGCUUGCUGUUGAUCAGAUUGAGACAGGUCAAGGAGCAAAUCAGAUUGAGACUAGAUGGGUUUCCAUUUAGGUUAUGUUUCCAGUCUUAUGCAUAUGUUUAAUCAUAGAAAUAAAUAGCGCAUGAUUGGACAGCUAUAGCGGCACGGAAGCCUCGGGGCGACGUUAUGACGGUUGUUGCGAAAUCAACGUUAAUCCCUAAUUCUGCAUUAAUUUCUUCAUUAUAUAAUAGAUAAGUUUAGAUACGGCGCCAAUUUUUUGUACGAGAAGGCGCGAUAGUAGCCGCUCUGGCGGCUGGAGGAUGCUGCCAUGGAAUGAUUUAGCGCGUGAUUUAAAACCUUGUGUUUAAUUCAGUUAGAUUUGUUCUAAAAAAAUUAGCGGUUGAUUCAACACCUGGAGCAUAACAUUGAUAUUCUAGACAUGGAGCAAACUACGGAAAGGUAUUUACGAGUGGAGAUAUUUCGAGCAAUUGACAGCCAGCUCACUGAAUUGAAUGCCAGGUUCAAUGAGAAAGUAAUGGAUCUUUUAUCCAUUAUACUCCCUCCGUUUGGAUUUAUAAGGCCCACUCAGAAUUUUAUGUCAAACUUUGACCAAAAAAUGCAUUACUAAUACGAGAUUAUUGCGGCACAAAAGAUAUACUGUUAAAUUCGCAUUUAAAAACUCUUUCUAAUGUUAUAACGUUUAUAUACAUAUACUAAAUAUAAUUUGAAUAAUUGUUGGUCAAAGUAUGGCACAAAUUUCAAUAAGAGCCUUAUAAACCCAAACGGAGGGAGCAGUAGUUACGCUGAUACCAAAAAAUGGACUAACAUCUUUCAAUACUAAAGAAAUAUGUUCAAUGGUGGAGAAAUAUUAUCCAGCUGAUUUUACACAACAAGAGAGGUAUAGGUUGGAGCUUCAGCUGAAAAGUUUUGUUGUGGAUGCUAAGAACAGCGAUGAUUUAAAGAAUCCCACAUCCAUAACUUCUCUAUGUCGAUGCCUUGUUGAGACAGGACGUCAUAGAAUCUAUAAUUUGGUGGACAUGUUGCUUCGAUUGCUUGUCGCUCUCCCGGUUUCCACUGCAAGUGCUGAGCGUGCUUUUUCCGCAUUAAAGAUCAUCAAGACAAGGCUGCGCAACCAAAUGGAAGAUGAUUUCCUUGCGGACAGCUUGCUGCUACAAGUAGAACGAGAAAUUGCAUCAAAAAUUUGUUUUGAAGAAAUAAUUGCAGAUUUGAAAGCUAGUAAGAACAGAAGAGCAUUUCUCUAGCCAUCAGUCCUAUUUAGUUUUCUUCACCCAAUAAUUUAUGUUAUGUUUUUCCUAAUUUUUUUACAUUUUUUAUUUAUGAUAACGGCGCUUACCACUAUGCCUCUCUUCACCUACCAUUCAUCUCCGUCUUCAGUCACCUUCUACCCGAGGGGGGUUGGUGGCAAUGGCGGAGCUACGUAGUGGUGAGGGGGGAGGGGGGCAGCAUGCAUCUUCCGCCCGAGGGGAGAAAUGGCAGAGCUACGUAGAGGUGAGGAGGGAGGGGGGCGCCGCCCCCAGCGCGAAACCUGUGACCAAUCAAAGCACGAUGCCGACACCAAGGGGAAAGCAACGCACCCUCUGGGUGGCUCCUGGUUAGGGACAAGUUAGGGCUUCCACAAUGUGCCAAAAGUCAAAUUCACCACGUAGGCAUCUUUUGGCAUCGGUGUUAAAUUCUUUUCGCUCCACAGCGUAGCAAGCAUUGAACUUUGAGACCUUCGCUGUAUUCUUGGUCCGAUGGUUUUUGCAUUGUGUGGCUGACUUUUGUUGUUCUUGAGGUGCAUACAUGUUGUACUCUUUUGCUAUUUGUUUCCAGAAGUGAUCGGACUUCUUUGAGUUGCCAUCAAUAGGAUCAUUGGAGUUGUUCAAAAACGCACUUACUAGCCAUUCAUCCUCCUUCUCCAAUUCUUGCCUUUGCCUCUCUUUACAUGCUCAUCUGGACUGCUCUCACUUCCUUCUUCAUUUUUGGCAGGGUCUUCUACUCGAUGUGCAGCGGAAAGUGGAGUACCUGACCGCCCCCCCCCCCCCCCCAACUGGACUAUUAUCUUCGUCUCGAGACCCACUACCUCCAGCAACUCCAAAGAAGCCCAUGAAUCCAACAGGAAACGCCGGGCUGUUGCCUCCAUACCCUCCAUGUGAGUAUUGAGUGGUAUGGCCUUGGAAAGGGACGCCAUGGUAGCUUGAUGGUGUUGGUCUGAACUAGGGGCGGCUUGGUUGAGCUGAAAACUGGUAGGCAUUGUGUGGGUGAUAUUGUUGCAGAUUGGUAAGUGGAUAGUUAACAAAAUGGGAUGGCUGAUUGUUUUGGGGGUGUUGAAGGCUUGCAUUUUGUGGAUCUGAAGAUGGGAUUGAGAAAUUCAACAUGUGUGUGUAGCUCAUGGAGGAUGAGUGUUGUUUGGAGAGAGGCCUGUAUGUGUAUUCUGUUUUGUUGGUUGUUCGUGUGUGUAUAAGCUGAGCAAACAACGGUCAGAUUUCUUACUUUGGUUUUUUACCUGUGUAUGUCUCACGAUGAAUGAUGUUUUGGUGGUAGUUAAAUGAUGUUAGUUGUGAAAGUGCGUUGAAGGUUGUUGGUUGGCAGUUGAAAUCUGAAAUAGCAGUUACUCCCUCCGUUUCGGUAUAGGAGGCCGAUCUGUGAAAUUUCACCGUUUCGGUUUUCCUGGCCGUUCUCAUGUUCCUCUACGAUUUCUGUUUUCCUCCUGAGGUCCCAAUACUGCAAUUACGAGGGUAGCUACUCCUUUCCUCCUCUAUUCCUGCAAUCGCGCCAAUCAGUUGCCAUGCACCUCCUAGAAACACGCUUGGCCUUCAAUUCUUUUGGCAGGUGAAUGGGCUAAGCCAUGCCUGUUAAUUGGCUGCAUUGAAGCGCAAAAUUUUGGGCAACGAAGAGAUUGAUUUCGCCUUGGUUGUGCCAAUUUUAGAGAUCAGCCCCCUAUACCGAAACGGAAGGAGUAGUAGAAUGUAGUUAUUUUAUUGUUUCUCCAAAUGUGGCACCGGAGCAUGUAGGAGCAUCGGUGCCCAUUUUCCAAAAUUCGGCACUGGCUCCACGGUGGGCACAAUAGGUGCCAAAAAUCAAAUUAAGAUUUUGGCACCUCAAUUUGGCACACACUGUGGAGGCCCCUAGGGACGGAAAACUCAAUGCUAAAAUUGCAAAAUAUAAAAUGCAUAUGGGCAAAAGAAGCUUGAGUGCAUGACUCAAUUCUGAUAAACUGCACAAUUACCUUGAUUUUAUCAAAUAAUAUGCUACAAGUACAAAACUUUUGACCAGGACAAGCUUCUAAUCAACUACACAGUCAUGACACAAGUAGGAGAAUUUCAGAAACAGCUUUCAAAAGAUAGAGCAUACACCACCCAGUUGCUUCCUGGAAAUUGAUCACAAAUGCAAAGGAUACCUCAUUGUUGAAAGCAAGUAACGAAAUCCUGAAGAGCUUCUCCCACCAGCUCCUCCAGUACUCCCUCCUCAAUCUGUUCUGUGAUAUCAACCACCUGAGACAUCAUCAUUUUCACCCAGCUACUUCCUUCAACCUCCUGCUUCACAAUUCUAUCCAUCAUGAUCCCAGUGCUAUCUCUCUUGCUCACCACGAACAUCCGUGUCCCAUAAAUCCAGUCUUUCAGAAUACUCCAGACUUCUACCCCAAGAGCAGGAGAUGAGAUGUACCUCCAUGUUCUAGUGUGUGCUUUGCUCCAUGAGAACGCACUUAGUAGGGCGUUCUCGCCGAUCUCAACUAGAGCAACAUUGACACAGUCAAAAAGAAGUCUUUGACAUGACCUUUGCUCCCGCAAUGCCAGAAGUUUGUUACACAGAACUGGGUCAACAGGGCAGUCAGGUAAAUGCCAACCAGUAAAAACCAUGCUUGAGUGUGUGUCGUCUAAUCCAGCAGAUGACAUUAUGUUUUGCACAAGAACAUGGCAUUCUGAUUCAUCAUCAUCUAUAUCGGAGGGGAGGCAAGGCAACCUUGGGAUACCAACUGAGGGCGAUUCUGAGCUGGCAUCAUCCCAUGGCAAGGAACAUGCAACAGCCUCAAUUACUGAGGAUCUUGAGACAGCUUCUGAAAAGAUUAGCGCACAUCAGUAUAUAAAACCAACCGAGACAUGGAGAGCUCUGAUUGUAAAAAGAAAACUUACUGGCAUUCUUCGAAGUAGUGCUGCCAGAUGAUUCAGGUUCAUUACAACUGCUAUCUUCAGAGGGUGCAUCAAGAACUGAGGUAGGGCUGGGCUGAUCUCGAGUGCUAUUUAGGCCUUCGUUUAGUCCGAGAAUAUCCAGUUCUCUGCUUGGACAAACCAAUGAUAUAGGCACAUCAACUGAAGCAGUUCCCUGGCAUGCAAAGAUAUCGUCAACAGUUGAUACUGGAACAGAGAUGAGCCACUCGCUCAGAAAAUACAUUAUUCCCUCCGUCCCAUAAUUCUUGUCUCAAAUUUGCCUAAAAAUGGAUGUAUCUAUUCCUAAAAACCGUCUAGAUACAUGUAAUAUUUCGACAAGAAUUAUGGGACGGAGGGAGUACAUGAAUUUAGCAACUAUGAAAAUGAAUAUAAACUGUUGGACUUGCAUAAUGGUUGAGAUACAAUGCCUACCUCUGAAGUGCUGAUAGAUUUUUUUAUGGCAGAAAUAUCAAUUUUCUCUUCACAAAGUACCUGUUCUUCAUUAUUUUCUACAUUAUGAUUGGCAUCUGAUUGACUAUCGCUGAAACAAGCUUCAACUAUGUCAUCGAAGCAGUCAGAUGGAUGAUGGGUGGAUUUAUGCCUUAUUGGCUUUCUUUUAGGAAAGAAGAAAUCUGAAACUCUCCCCUUGGAAGAUGGUUUUCCUUUAUUUGAUACUUGUGCUGUUGGCUUGCAGCUCUCAGUAUUUGGAACUUGCACUUUCUCCACCAUGUUGUCAGACGUUUUUGAAAUAGCCAAAACAGACUUUGAUCUUGGCAACUUUCUGCAAGUGGCUACAUACAUAGCUGUCGUAGUCAGUUCAUUUUCUGUACCACACGAUCGACUGCUAGAAACAGAAUGUACCCCAGUAAUGGAAUCUUCUUUCUUCACUUCUUGAAGGGAGAGCAUCUCACCUAAGGUGCGAGUUCUCCUUGGCAAUUGCACUUGCUCUUCACUGAUUUCAUCACAAGUUACCAUUGCCCAUCGCUCUGAAAGCCGUUGCUUAGCUUCUUUAAUAACCAAUGACUCAGGAAAAUGUGAGAUCUUGCUAAAAGAUGAGCCCGGGCAGGGACUACCAUAUCUUCUGGUGUGAUCCCACGAAUACUUCAAUACAGCACUAUCUUCAUCCGAGUCACUGAAGCUACCAUCAUCUUCUUCAAUAUAAUCGACUCCAGAAUCUUCAUUGCAAUCAAUUUCUGAAUCAGUGAAUGAGCUUUCAUCUCCACCAUAUCCAUUUGAGUAUCUGGAAGACAAUAAAGACUCGUCUCGCUGAUGGAAGCCAUAUUGCCUGUGCCGAGAACCCAGGGUUACUCCACUAUCAUCUAAUACUCCGUUGAAGUCGUUCCAUUCAAUUUGCCGAAAUGGGAUUGCCUUGGGGGUUAGCUUUGCCUUUGUCAUACUAGGCUUCCCUGGGGUAGGCCUCAAGAGUACUAUUCUACUUGGUUGUGAAGGGAUCCCUUCCUUUGAACUAGGCCUCUCAUCAAACUUUCUCAUCUCCAGUCCAUUUUGCCCAAUAGCUCGUUCUGUUCUGGAUUGUCUUCCACCAUUACACUCAACAGAUCUCAUUGGUUUCAAUACUGUAAUGCGUUUUGUCUGAGGUGAUGCUGGAGUUGUGUGAAGCCCGCUCAUCCGUCUUUGCAAAAUGAAGUUACGUUCAUCACGAAAUCUCAGAAAUAAAUCUUUCUCUGAACUUACAACCUCAAGAGAUUCUUGUAAACCCCCAGAAUGAAGGAGAUUCUCUUCAGUGGCAAGGCAUUUUCCUUCCCUGAACUUCUCUGGGACAAUAUUCAUUGUGCCACUCCUGUUCUCAGAAUACCUUCCUCUCUGUGAAGAUUGAUCCUGAAAAAGGCUCAUUCUUGCUUUCUCUUCACAUCCUUCAUAUACACCAUUACAUUCAAUUGUUUCACAUGAUGGGUGGAUAACUUUCAUCACCGACUGUAUGGAAUCGUGCUGCUGUAAGGCCUUCUUUGUCUCUUUUAAGCGGUUAGAUGAUUUACUUCUCCUAAAAUCUCUUUUAGCAUGGUGUAAAACUGGUUCUUUGGCAGGAAAAUCCUCCUCAAGGCCCAUUAAUCUGGCAACAACACUUCGAGGGUUGCUCUUUGACUCCACUUCUUUACUCGUCUCUUUUGCUAAUAGCAUUUUUAAUGAGGUUGUAUUUGAUUUUGUGCUUGAAAAAUUACCUCCAGCUGCCUGCAGAGAAAUCCACAGUGGUAAUGGUAAGCUAAUGUUUUACAUUUAGUAGCGUAUAUUUUCUUUCCUUGUUUCUUUCUGCCAAGUCUUAAGCAUUUCAAUUAAAUACAUACUGAUUUUCAUACCAAAAGAUGAUGACCAUAAAAGAGUAUGAGGGUGAUGAGUUCAUAAUAUAAGUUAUGCUAAAUGAUACUCACAAUUUGUCCCUCCAGAUGAACUUUAUCAGAAUCAAUAGUUCUCUUCAAUUCUGACGUGAUUCUUUGAACUGGAAAACACGAAAGGAGCACGUUCAAUAUGUAUCUUCAUACUAUUUACAAAUAUCAGAAUGUUAACAGUUAUACGGUUAUACCUGAAAAACGUGAUACGGAAUAAUCAAACGCAACUUCGAAUAUUUUAAAACAAACAUAUAAUUAUCAGAAUGCAAAAUAUACAACAAUUAAGGAAAUUGCUAUAGAUUUUUGUACAGCUAUCCUGCAAGCCUUAAUCCCAAUGGUACCGGCUACAUUUACACCAUUACCACUGCCCCACCAAAUUUCGAAAAGGAAAAGGAAAAAAAAUCCCCAAUCCCCACCAAGUGACACAAUUAGAACAAUUAAGACAACCUUUAAUGAAGAAGCUCUAGACAAUAUGGUUACUAGAUAUAAUUGCAGUAGUAGUAUCAUGAUUUUCAGAGGAACAGAGCACUCUCCCAGCCUCACUUAAAACAUCAUUCUAACAAAACUAAAAACAAAAUGGGAAUGCAUACCAUCUGUAUGAGUUUGGCCCAUAACUGGCUUUGCACCAGAAAUCCCUGUACUUAGGUCAACAAAUUGAUCAUUUCCUCAUGUUAAUACGUGCUAGAACCGGCUCAAGAGCAUUCAUUUGGUGUAUCCAAUCCUGAAAAGUCCAGAAGAGAUUCAGUGAAUCUUCAUGAACCCAAACGAGCUAUUCCCUACACUAAUGUCAAGUGAACCAACUUAACACUGGUAAAAAGAAUCAGCAGACUAGAGGCUAGCUGAUACUAAGCACGGUGAUUUAUUUUUCAGAAACCCCUUGGCAUUUGAAGCCCGUAGAUUUAAGGGACAAGAAAGUGAUACUCUGGAGGAUGCUAUCUUUUCGGGGAACUUCAGUAGAUACAUGCUUAAAAGCCGGAUUUUUUUCAGUCAUUUGAAAGCCAAAUUGGCGCAAGAGAGUUUAUGGCCCUUGUUUAAUACAACCAUAAAAUAAAAGCUGCGUGUACAAAAGACGGGGACGAAGCAGCGCUUGACAAUAUGGAAAAGCAUAAGGUGACGGAUAAAAAGACACAAAAAAAGCAGGCAUACCGCAUACAGAAGCAAAUGAGCAAACGUAAUUACAAAAGCAUGGACCCAUGACACUAACUAGUACUCCCUCUGUUCCUAAAUACUUGUCGUGGUUUUAGUGCAACGGAGGGAGAAACUAGGACGGACGUACUACAAAAAAGAAUCUAGCAGCAGAAAAUAAUCUCUGAAAGACUGCGUUUUCCGUCAAUCAGUUAGUUACCAAUUCUUCCAGUCAGAGAAAUGUGAAAACGAGAAACGUACAGAGAGCAAGUAAUUACAAAGCCACGAGUGCACGGCCAAAAUACUCAGAAUUUAUACUUACAGGCGACAAAGGAAUCUCUGCAGCCGUGCCGUUCCAAAGGCUUCAGAUUUUUCACAGGAAAAAAGAAGGCUGCAAUAAAAGCAGAAGAGGACAUGUACUCCUCUAGGUAGGAUAGUAGAAAACUAGUACUACGUACGAAGUACGGGGAUACCGAGAUGUACAGAUAUGUAUGUAUCCAGUGAGAAGCCGAGACAGUUCCUCAAAGCUGGAGGUUUUAGCAGGUUAAAAUAGAAGAAAUAUAUACUCCGUAGUUGGUUUGCCGAAUCAAACUAAUCUAGUCCACCGUUGAAAAAUGAAGCCAACGGCUGAUUAAACAAAACUACGGAGCUUGAUAUUAAAACGAAAUAUAAUACCCGAACGCACGGACGUAUCCAAAGAAUCAUGCAGGCCUUUAAAGUCUGUAUAAACUAGUACAUGAAAUUGAUGAGUGUUCUAUUUCACUCACUCCCAUCUACUUUUCCUAAAUUUCACGCAGCAUUUUCUUGGUCCAAGCCUCUGCCUGCCCCCAGAUUUGCAUGCUCAACUGCCCAGAUGAUAGACAAAUGUGACAAUCAUCACAUUGAGAUCACGGACAGAAUAGUGGGACUGUGGGAGUACCAAUCCGCAGGCAAGAAAGCGAUCCAUACGAAGGAAAACUCCACCAAUCCAAACCGAGGCUGGUGGCAUUUGCAUUUCCCACACCACCAAAUCGAACAAGCUGGUGGCAUCUCAGUUUAUCCGAUAAAGCAUGUCCCCAAUGGACUCCCCGGAUCGUGUAAAAUGCGCCAGCAAAUAACCCGCGGAGACAGAACUGAAGAGAGUCUCUGUACGAAUAACAAGAUAGGUUCGGAUUGCUCACCUCGACUCACGCGAUGCGAACGGCGAGCCUCGCUAGAAGGCGGUCGGCGGUGGCUUAUCCCGGCGACGGAGAUUUAGCGGUGGGGAUGAGGUGGCGGUACGUGGGUUUGGGGGGCUUUGGGAGGAUCGGCGGUGGAUAGAGGAGAGGCAAGCGACGGGGGAGCAAACUCAGUUACUCAGCAGGGUGCCCGUGGAGAGAACUACUGGGAUGGGAUCCCAGCGGCAUCAGUCCGCCUUUUGGUUUUCCCCUCCUGUUUGCUUUUCUUUUUCCUUUUGUUUUCACUCCUCCGCCUUCCGGUGCGCAAAUGUUUGUACUGACCCGUGUCGCGCCGUGGGCUGCGUACGUGCGCGUGUAAAAGGGCGUAAACGCUCGGUGAUGGACAGCCUACAAGUGGAGUAACCUUGAAGUGGAAUUCAGAUAUGAAAACGCUUCAUAUAAAAAUUAGACACGCGUGUGUGAUUAUAACUUGUUUUUUCAGCUAUAUUAUUUUAAUCAAUGGGCCUCCGCAUCGAUUUCCAAGUUAUUACAACAUUUAGUUUUUGUGCCGAUACAAAACUAAACCAGUCUAAACUACGUCAAUACAGGUACUCCCUCCAUCCAACAAAGUAUGUCUCAACUUUAACCAAAUUUGAAUAUAUCUGUACAUUAAAUCAUAUCUAGAUACAUCCAAAGUUUGACAAACUUGAGACAUCUAUUGUUGGACAGAGGAAAUAUUUGACAUUCAAGAACCAGAAUUCACGGUCUAGAUCAAUCUGAGCAAGCCAACAAAAACCAGAAACACGCCAAUACAUGUAUUUGACAUGCAAGAACAAAACAGUCAUUCACACGGCAAUGCCAUCACAAGAUCAACCACCCAGUCGUCACCGUAGGAGAUUCCACCCAUGACUUCCCGAGUAUGCUUCUGCAACCACCAAUCCACCAUCUUGAUCUUGUGAACACGAGCUGCUUCUUUGGCUUGUUUCUUUCUGCAAGAUGUUUCAUGAGGUGAGCGUGUUAGACAAAGUGAAGAUGAGUGUUGAAGGGUCAGUCAGCACUUCUCAGUCAACAAUCAUACCCAUCGAUUAAGAUUUUCUUGUCAAAUGUACUUGCAUGAUUCUUGCACGAAUCUCAAUGAUUCAAUCAAAUGGUUGUUAGCAUUGAUUUUUUUUUCGGGGAAGUAUUGAUUUAGAAAUAGUUAUUUCUCACUAUCUUAGAAAUAGCAAAACCGUUUUAAAUUUGUCUCUUAUUGAAGUGAUUUUCAUUUUUAUCUCUUAUUUGUAAAUUUGUCAUAUUGUUUACCCCCAUUUUGAAUUGUGUGCCACAUUUUACUCCUAAGUUGUUAUAAUGUGUCAAGUUUUACUCCAUUUAACAAUUUGGACUAUGCCAAACGGAUUGGUCCCACCCAUACAUCGCUAGAGUAAUUAGAAUACAUACCACUCAUAGACAUAAUUAUGCAUGGUGUUUUCUUCCUACUGGUGCACAUGACCUGCCUACACACUCCCUCUCUUCUUGAUGGGGGACAAAACAUUGCGCAUGUCGUCCCUGGUUGUAAGUUCUUGGUUGCAAGCAUGUUUUGUAUUUUCUAUUGUUCUUCUCAAUGGUAGGAGAAAGAUGACACGAAGCCACCACAAUAGUACGAUUUAGUGAGCUAGGGUAGGUGGGGAAAUAGGCCCGAUAUAAUGGAUAGGCAUGAAAAAUUCUUCCAUGCUUAUGCUUUCGAGUUGGCAACACAAAGUCAGUUGAUGCUUCGCCCUUGAUAAGUGUGUGUAGCUAGUCAAAAAUGGGGAAAUUGUUAAAUAGGUAUUCAUCAAAUGCCCAUGCGGAGAGAACUAGAAUGAAAACAUAAGUGAGGCUUGGUUCUAUAAAAAGAUUCAAAACAAUUUAUCUGUAAACAAAGUCACAAGUACUAAAUUGUUUCAAUUGUUAAUGCAGUUGACCAUCAGCGUGCAAUUGCCCCACCCCCCAUCUGAAAAUCCAAAGAUAAAUAAACCAUGCCGUUUAAUUCCUUGCCACUUUUUUUGUGUGGGGGAAUUCCUUGUUGGUUUUGACCAACGUACCGUUUCUCCAAGAUCCCGAAAUGCAAACACGGAGUGAACCAACAGAACAACCAUGCAUGCAUUCCAAGAAGGAACUAAGAGCAAGUCCAGCAGGUCCCCAAUCUCCUCCCCUAUAACGUUUUUAGGGGGAAAAGCCCAGAAACGAGGCUCCAGCAGAUCCCCAAUCAUCUCCCCCGAAUUUCCGCAUCCCUGAUUCCACCAUCCUUCUCCCCUACAGAUCGGGGCGCCCGAGCUCUCCCCUAUCCACGUCAGGGAGCAACCGUCGUUCCCAGAUUCUUCCUCCCGCCACCACCCGCGUCAACAGGUUCGUCCCCGUCCUCGUUUCUCUUCAAUCUCGUUCGCAUCGAGCUCGAAUCGAUCUCCAUACGCACUAUCAUGGUGGGAUGAGAGAGGAUGAAGUAGAUAGGGAAGAGCAGGGGUAGGUCGGGGCGUUCUGGAGAGGAGGGGAGGGGCAGGUCGCGGCGGCGCCAUGGGGCUUCGUGGUGGCACCAUGGGGCAGGGGAGGGGCGCAUCGCGGCCUGGAGAGGAGGGGAGGGGCAGGUCGCAGCGGCGCCCAAGCCGAUCUCCUCUCCUUCUCGUCUGAGUUCCUUCUCUGUGAGAAUUAGUACAGAUAGAUUUUGUGAGAGACAAAGUUCAGAGUUCCUUCUUGCUAAUUAGUAAUACAGAUUUCAUUACACCCUCAGUACGGAUUUCUAUUUGUAGAUCAUUCCAGGAGCUCAAUUCUCAAUUCUAAAAUUCUCAAUAUGUGAAUCUUUUGUUUUUGUUUCAGAUUUUGGUAAUGUAAAAUCAGAGUUAUAAUGGUUAUACCGAUCUCUUGCAAAGUGAUGUCGGAUUGGACGAUUUGCACUGGUCUGGAGGGCAUGGAGAACAACACAUCGAUCUCGAAGGGCAUGAAGAACAACACAUCAAUCUCGAAGAGACUCAAGAAGCUACCCCUCCUGUGAAAACGAGUGCUAAGAAAGCAAGGGCUUCAAAAGCAAGUGCUCCCAAAUCAAUCACUUCGAAGAGGCAAAAAAAAUUCAGCCAGGCUGAAGACUUGACUUUGUGUGAUGCAUACCUCGAGAUAACUCAAGAUCCAAUCAUAGGGGUUGACCAAUCUCGUGAUUGCUACUAGAAAAGAAUAAAUGCUUACUUCCAUGCCAACAAGACUGAAGACUCAGAUAGAACACAAAGUUCUCUUCAACAUCGUUGGGCUAUUAUUCAAGAACAAGUGAAAUAAGUUUAGUGCAUGUUAUGCUCAGGUUAUGAACAGAAACCAAAGUGAGAUGACACAUGAGAAUAAGGUAACACAUAUGCUUGUCAUGGUUUGUGUUAUGUUAAUUCCUUUGGUCAUAGGAUGUUCAAUAUUCAGAUUUAGAAUUACAUGUUCUACAUUCAGAUUUAGAAGUACAAGGAACCUGAACUGCAGCUUGACAUAUGGAGUGGCUGUUUGCAUAUGUAUAUGAAUAGUAAUUAGUCUUUUUUGUAGCUGAUAUUCUGUUCAGAUUUAUAUGUAGCUGCUGCAUGUUCUAUAUUCUAUUUUGGAACCUAAACUGCAGCUUGCUAUACGAAUAGAAACGGCUUCAUCUAGUGUGUUGUUGACUAAUGCAUAUAUGUAUCAAUUGCAGCUAGCUCAAGCAAUUGUCAAGUAUGCUAGCGAUGAGGGAAAUAAAUCAUUUGGACUAAUGCAUUGCUUUAAUAAGUUGGAAGACACCGAGAAGUGGAAAUCUCGACCCAAAAUGAUAAAACACAAGACAGACAUGCUCCAUGGAUACUCCAGGUGCAUCAUCUAGUGUGUUCGAGGAUGAAGCUACAUCUCCCUCCAAAAGUGUUCCCACGAAAAGGCCAAUUGGUCAGAAGAGGGCUAAAGAAGCACAACGACGAGCUAAUGCUUCGGGUUCAUCAUCUAGGGAGUUGAUUGGUGAUAUCUUCGAGACUAAGGAGUCAAAGAGACAAGAAAGAUUUGAGCUCAUGCUUGCAAUUGACAAAGAGAGAGAAGAUGAAAGGUUGGCAGAAGAAAGAAAUAGAAGUGCAAUCAAACAAAAAAAAAGGUGGCAUUACAAGAAGAAAAGAUACAAAUCUUGAGAAUGACAGAGGAACGCUUGGCAGCAGCGAAUAAACGUUUGGCGGUAGCAGAAGAUGACAAAAUAAUGAGCAUGGACAUUAGUGGCAUGGGCGAGGAAGAAAAAUAAUUCUACAAACUAAGGGAGUCAGAUCUUGAAGCGACUUCGCAACUAAUUAUGUAUAUUUUCGAACUACUUGGAUUUAGAUUUAGCUAGUCUGUAUUGUAGUAUGUACUAAUUAUGAAUUUCGAACCAUUUGGAUUUGGUAUUAUGUGCUGUGAUCUGAACUAAAGGAAGAGGUAGCCGUCGAAUUUCGAAUGAUAGUUAUAGAAUUUUUUUAAAAUAUAUAAUAAGUGAGAUUUUUUAGGAGAACUAUUUUAGGAGAACUGCUGGAGUUAGAAAUUUAGAGAAGAAUAUUCGGAGGGACCGACCCCAACCCGUCCCGCGUCGAUCACCCUCCUCUGCGUACGUAUGUCGCCACCCCAGGGCCCAGGCGGGUCUCGACGCUUGCGCGGUGCCGUUCUGUUCUGGCUGCUGUAUACUCGUGCAGACGCCGCACAUGCCUCGUUGCAGCGCAGUUCCCCCAGCCCAGCACGGUGAACAGUCACGACGCGCGCGCGCCAGCUCGCUCAGACGACCUGACGACCUACGCCUACUCGAUCCUAGCAGCAGCAGCAGCAGCAAGCUUUAGCAGCAAACGUCAAUAUGCUGUACCUGCGCGCGCGAACGUUGCGUACGAUCGUUCCGCUACGCGACGGCCCCGGCCGAUGGGAUGAAAACUGCCGUUCUUGGUCGCCACUUUUGCCAGUCUCACGUGCCGAGCUUAAGCACCGUAGGCUGGGCGUGGGAUUCCCUUUCUCUGUCAGCGAGCACAGCGCAUGCAGCAGCUAGCGGCAGGGGCCUUUGCCCGGCUGGCUCGAUCGGCCCUUUCGGGACUAGAACAUGAGGACUCAAAAUCGCAAAGUUUUAGCUGUCAGCUGUCUACAUGAUCGCUUGCAUCGGAAUGUCAGAUACACACACAUACAUAGCCUGUCUUCGUGUAUAUGCGCAGGCGAGCAAAGCAGGCGGGACCAGGGCUGUAGGAGAGCCAGCCGUUAUCUGACAAUCUCAGGGUACUACUAUACGCGUGCACAGGAGAAAUGGCUGUUCCGUGUUAUGCAGCCAGUUAAACUGUACACUUAACUUUGCAUGGUCGCAUGCACGCACAUGCAGCUGCCGUUUAUUUUCUCAUUGGUAGCAACCGCAUGCCGCGAUUUAACUACCGCCCGUGACAAGGUCGACGCUGGGAAUAUGCUGAUGGUGAUGGGACAGGAGACGCUGCCCCCAUGCAUGCAACCCAUUUUUUUAUGGAAGCCGCGCGCUCCAACGCAACUUCAUACUCGCUUCGAUUUCAAGAUAAUGGUAGCGGUACGACGACUUUCGCAACGAGUCGAUCAUGGAAGUUGGUGAGAAUAUUUUGUAGGUUGCUGCAUUUCCCUAUACAUUGUGUGGGCAAAUACCCAAAGUAUUGCACAGUAGUGUACUUUACUACUGCUGUUUGGGCCAUGGAAGUUUGCGACUUUGUUUACGAGUAGCCUUGAAGCGUGCCCUGCCCAUCACCAAAGAUUUACGGGGGUUAUCCUUGCAAAAAGAGCACGGAAUCCAAAAAUAUGUUUGCGUGUUAUUCUCUCGGGAAAUUGCUAUAGAUCUGUACUAUCAGCAGCAUGUUUGUUGCACAAGUAUCAUGUCGGUAUUGAUUAGGAGUAUUAGAUUCCAAUACGCCUUCCAGUGAUUUCAAGUUUUAAACCAGCAUCUAGUAAGUAAAUGCAGGGAGCAAACGAUGGAACAGAUUGCGCGAUGAGCACCAAACGAGCUAAUGCCCAAUUUUUAAAAUAAGCUGACAGUUUUGCUAUAUCAAUUGUCCGAUUUUUAGAUAGGGAUAACUCAAUUGCUCAGCUGUUGGAUCUGAAUUGUGUUUUAAGAUUUGAAAUGAAUGAGGGAUGGGUUGAGUUUAGAUGGCGUCCAAAUCCAAUGGUACUGAUAAGUCGAUUGAGAUUUAAACUUUUUGUUUAAAAAUUAGGCGGUUGAAAAAUAGACACACACAUAAACUAAAGAUACACAAUCUCUGGCGGAGUAAUUAAGCAGGAAAUUUUGACCCGGUUUUACGACAAAUUAAAAUCAUAUCUAGAAACAUCGAGAGCGGCCCCUUGUCCGGCCAGGCGGACCAAUCGACCAGGCCGACGAACUUGCUACACUUGCAGUACGAGUCCAUCAUAUUUCUUAAUUUUCCCUAUUUAUAAAAAGGUAGAGUCUAUUUCAUCCGAUUGAGAUUUUCUAAUCAUUUGUACUUGUAUAAUUUUUUGUACAAUUUUAAUUGAAUCAGACAGUUGUUAGCAUAGACUUAAAAAUAGUUAUUUCUCAUUCCUCAUAUAAAUAGCAAAACCGUUAUAAAGUGUUGGAUGCCUCUUCGUAGCCGACAUAAGCCAAUUCCAAGUGGAAGCGCCUUGAAUUUCCACUUUAUCAACGGGAGAGCGUUGGGACCUUUCUCUACAUCCAUGCAUGGUCCGGAACCUUAUCCGGUUAUCCCCAAUAAUGAUCCAUCUCCCGCGGUAGAAAUUAGCAGUUUCGCACCGCGAGCCACGGUGCGCUCGGUGGGCGCGUCCUGCCGUUUUCAAGCGUGGUCACUGCUUUUUUUUUUCUUUUUUUGAAAGGGCAUCCACUGUUAUCCAUCAUACGCAGCACAAGUCUGGGGGAAGAAAAUGCUGUAAAAAAAAGGCUGGGGGAAGAAAACGACGAGUGCAAACCUUUUUUUUUUUGCAGCGAGUAUGCAUGUGCCACGUACAGCCCACAUGGUAGACUAAGUUGACGCGCGGAUGAUGAAUGCCUUAAUGCAAGGUGAAAAGUUGCUCAAAAUGCUCAGUGUUCUUAGUUGCAUCGAUCCGAUAUAUACUCCUAACUACGGAGUACACUCAAAAUGAUGCGAGGAAUGAUCUUCACGAGGAUAUAGACUCCAACGGAAGCCGUGCAUCUGUUUUCUUCCAAGAAAGAAGAACCUCUUCUAGAAAGGAGCACGAGGUUUUGAACUUUGAACCCCGUGUUAUCUCAAACCACGACCGCCUGCUCUAGCGCUGUGGGCUGUGGCACCCGAGCAGGCAAGCGGGCACCGGCAACCCCUCGAGGUAUCAUUAUUGUGCCAAAGAUGCCACGGAAACUCACAAUCAUGUCCAGAGCUGCUUUUCCAAACGACAGAUUCUUGGUUAGAUAGCUCAUGAUGUAAAACGGUUCUUGACUCGUUCGUACCGACUUUAUGCUCUGGGGUUUACCUUACGCCUACGCCAGAACGUUUCUUUUCAUAUCAGGGCAAACAAAUGAGCUGAAAAGAAAAAUCCGUGCCCUAUAGGAGUAGCAAAAGUAGUACGUUUUGGUCGGGCAGAUGCUUCCAAGAAAAGCGUGAUUUCAGCUGUGCAGAGAAUAUGUAGCUUCGUACUGUGAGAACUGAGAAGGUACUGUACAGUAUGUACCUCUCUAUCACAUUGCCUUGUAAUUUCAUGAAAGAAAAGCUGCAUGUUCAUCAGAGGUGAAAAGAUGCAGUCAAAAAACUUGGGAAAUUGAUCAGCACACUUUGAAAGUGUUUUGACCGUCCAGUUGUCGGUUUACUUUAUCCAUGGAGCCAUACACUACGGGGUACAUACACGAACGUCAGGCCCUCUUUGUUCAAUCAAUGGCAAGACUGACACCACACUUUUCGACAAAAAAGAAGAGCAUGAAAUGGCCAGAUCUUUUUUACAGAUCAUCUCUCCUUGAGCUCCCUUGUUUUCACAUUAUUUCUCCUAUUUCAACAUUCAACAACAAACAGAUAGGUGAAUCUACAUACAUAUUGUGGCAAUAUUUACAAUUAACUCCAUACAGCAGUUCAAGCAGUUAUGAUUGUAUCAGUGAUAUAAAACAACUAGCUUACAGCCAUACACAGUACAUGGACUUAGGCCAGCCUCUUCUAAACUGGGGUGAACAGCAAUGAAUAGAUCUAAGUCAUAACUCCACCUGUAUAUUACAGCCUUACACAGUACAUGGACUCCGCCUAGCUAUGCCUAAAUUUAGGUCAAAGUUGCAUCAAUCGAAAUGCAUCAUCCACUAACAGGUCAAUCUGGACCCGCAACAAAUAACACUUCCAAGGAAUACUGGGCAUGGAGCUACCACAUUACGCCAUCCAGAGACAACAUGGGAGUCUCCCUGAUGCUAUCCAUAGUAGAGCAAGAACUGAAGAGAGCGAGAUCAGAAGUACCAAACAAACGGUUCUUGGGGUUGCCUUUGGCUAGUGUUAUAUUUUGGUCAUCUUCAAAAUCAUUGCAAAUACUUCCAUUCGACGUGAGACCAAAGAUAGCCCCCAAACUACCACCAUGAGAUUGGACGUGAUGCACUGAAGACCACAAUUCUUGGGAAAAAUCACACAAACUUUCCCAGUCUUGCUUACAAGGAUGCUCUGAAUAUGAAGACAGGGAAUUCAGGCAUGUGUCAUUUGCAUCCACAGGGAAAAUGCUGUUACUGUCCUUUGAAUCAUGAUGAUGAUCAAGAAUUCCAGAUGUGUACUUGGAAAAGCUUGAAGCAGUGAAUUUCACAGGUAACUGAUCCAAUCCAUGCAGACGCCCAAUAUCAGAAAUCAAACAAUUCUGCCUCUGACGAAUAUUUCUCCUCCGUUUCAGCAAAACAGGACAUACGGACAGCAGAGUCAGAAAAGCUCUUUGGGCGCAGCUCAGAAGGAUAAUCUGAAGUUGAACAUAUAGAAUUCAGGCAACUCCUGUUUGUAUCCAACAGAAUGUUGUUUCUAUCACUUACAUGGAAGUUGUAAGUGUCACUAAAACUAUUGUGAUCAAGAAUUCCAUCUUUGGGGCCCAAAAAGCUUGAAGAAGUGCAUUUUGCAUGUAACUGGCCAAACCUAGAUAGAAGUCCAGCGUCAGAAUUAUCAAACAAUCCUGCCUCAACUGAGUCUCCCCCCUCCAAUCGAACUGACCUAGAAGUACAACGCUCUAGAGAGCUGCAAAGCUCAGGUUGCCAGAAAGUAUUAGAUACCUCAUGUGGUACCAAAGACUGCUCCACAGUCUGACAGGGUAAGAACAUUCUAUCUGGAAUUGAUUCUGCGAAUGUUUCUGAUAACAUAGGAUCCCAUCCAUGAUGAUCAUAUGACCCAGUUCGAAUAAUACAGCCCAACUCAUUAGCUGAAAUUGGUUUGACUCUGCUGUGUGGUUGGACAUCUUCUAGCAACCAGUUGGAAACUUGGUUGUGAACAGUUUGUCUUUUCAUAUCAAAACUUGCGAGAUCUAUAGUAUGUGCUGAUCGUACUGGCAUGCAGUCAUGUGCUUCAUUAUCCCCACAAGGUAAGCCAUUUCUCCAAUCAAGAAAACUUGGAAGAUCCUGAUGGGCAGGAGUAUUUCUGCAAACCAUGUUCCUCUUUCUCAUGGGGUCUUUCUGCUGCUGCAGUGCAUUAGGUAACUAUCAGAAAUAAAACUGGUAACUUGUGAAUACAACUAACUUUGAAUAGGGAUAAUACAGUACGUACAAAUCUUCAAAUUAUAGAGGAUCAGCAAAGAAUACCUUUCUUAUUAUGUUGUCGGCGCCUAAUCUUUGCAGGAUGUCAGCAAAAAAUUCUGAUCUGAGAAAAUUAAUUCAUCACACCAGCAAUGUUAGAUUACAUGAAAUAUAAACUAAUGGAAUUCUUCAAUAUAUAACACAACCUUCUUUGGAACAACUCACAACUUUCCAUUGACACUGUUUUUGCAGCUAGCUUUAAUAAUAUCCUUCUCUUAUCUGAAAACAUCCGUCCACUCCCAUGUUCUAUGUCUGUUAGUUUACCACGGUAGAAAAUUUUUGUCAUUAGCAUCCCAGUCAGCCAGAUGAAUGAAUGACAUGUAAAUUGCUAUACACUGCUAACAACAUAUAUCUCAGAAGUACAACCUUACAAAAGCUUUAGGAAUUCGAGAAGUAUUCAGAAUCUAGACGGGAUUAUUCAUCAUCUCAGGAAGCCAACCUAUCUACAGCAGUAAAUGUGCUUGUAUCAGCCAACCAUUGCAGCACACAUAUCUGCUUUGGAUUGUUGGCAUGAUAUCAUCAUAUCCCAAUUUAGAGGUUCCAAUCUAUUGUCCUCUCCCAACCAUGGUAAAUAAAGCUUCAACUACCACAGACACCAUGAUAGUAGAAUGUAUGUGAUAUGUCAUAUGACUGGACAAUUUCCAUGAAGAUUAACUGCUGCACAUAGCAAAACUUUCGGCAGUAUCUAGUACUCCCUCCGUCCCAUAAUUCUUCUCGAAAUAUUACAUGUAUCUAGACGCUUUUUAGGAAUAGAUACAUCCAUUUUUGGGCAAAUUUGAGACAAGAAUUAUGGGACGGAGGAAGUAUUUCUUUUGAGAACACAGCAAUAAAGUAUGAUUACACUGUAUUUGUAUUGAGUGAUGAGCAUGUGCUCACCAGUAUUUCUUGAAAUCCCUGCAAGUUCAAAUGGUGUCUUGAUCAUGGGUGUGAAAACCUGAACAGUUGGCAGGGAAUCACAUGGUUUUAACUGAGGUGUAUCAUGAUUGUCAUAUUCUGCAGAGAAGAGGAUCAAUAGUUAGAAGACUCUAAAGAUUCGCCAUUCGUGAUUAAAGGGGAGGCCACAGUAUCAGACCAGAAUGCGAGGCUUGCACUUUCACUUGCUCAUCAGAGAUUUUGUUAUUCGCGGGUGUUGCAGGGGCCUCAACGGAACACAGAGUAACCUUGUGGACAGGAAACUUCUUGUGCGAUGUCACAUUAUGUGAUUCUACAAGACACAUCAAGAAUACAAGAAGUUCAUAAGAAAUUAAGAAUGAUCAAUUGCAGCUUCCAUUAAUGUUUGAAGUAAGGAAGCAAAGAGAAUAGGAUUAUAGGACCACAAAUGAAUGAACGUGAUCUACAGCCUGAGUACUUCCAUUAAUGUUACAAACCUAUUCGAUUGCCCUCUUUUUGCUUGUAUAUGUCUGGCACAAUAUUUUGAUGAGGCUGUCUGAAGGAACGUGAUCUACAGCCUGACUGCUCCCACAAUUUCUUGAAGAAUUUGAAUUCAGUAGUUUUCGCAUCAGAACCUGCAUCUGCAUAGGAAGUGCCCAGAUAGGAUAAUGAUACAAUAACACAUAGAAAGCCAUGUUACAUGGCUUCAUCAAUCUAACAGCUACUAUACAAAAACCCUUUUGAAUAUUUUGAACCCUUGAUUAGGAAUUUAAAUAAGCAGCUAAGUUGGUACAUAAGAAAAACAUUAUUUUGAAAAGAUUAAAGAAACUUACUGCAUUGUAAAGCCCAAAGGGGGGGAUUAUGUAAAUUUAGUACAGUUUGAAAAGAGAGGAGUUACAGUGAGAAUACACGCACCUUGGGCCUUAGUUUUCUCAGCUCUGCUUGUGUUAGAAUCCUGUCUCGCAUAUUCACGAUGACUACCAGCUUUGCUCUCAAACCGAACCUUUUUUAUUGGCCUUCCAUCUGCCAUUAUGUGCUCAAUAAUUCAGUGAUGACAUCAAAGCAAGAAAAUGCAGAAUGAUUUCCAGGAUACCAAACUUUCACUGAAGAAAGGCUGCAAUAGAACACGAUGGAAUUUGAGAGUAAAUUUUAGAUUAACCAAUAGCCAAACCUCUAAACACGAUUUCCAAAGAAGAAGCAAAAUCCUAAAAUACAACAUAAAUCGCACAUACCAUUUUCAAGAAAAACAUGCAAGAAAAGAUGGAAACAUCAACACGUAGGCAAGGAUCGUAAGCACACAUCCAUAAACUAAGAGCAAAUCCUACUAAAUGGAGACCAAAAUGAUCCCAACUUCCCCAAAAAUGCCAUGACCUUUUCUGUUACUCUCCCGAAGAAAAGCCAGGAUCACAAAUAAUUAGAAUCGUACACCCCCCAAUCCCACGCAACCCCAACUCAACCCACAAGAUGGGAACUUCUGUUCCGAUCUUUCCGCAAGAACUCUAUCUACCUAGAGAGGGAUAUACCUAAAUUCAAAGCAAGAAGCGCGAAGGCGGUGCAGGUGGGCGAGACGGACCUGGGGAGGAGGGAUCUGGGCGAGGCCUCGACGCCGGCGGGGGCUGAAAGGCCGUGCCUCGUGGUGGUCGUGGUGGCUUAAGAGGGCCGCUGCUAGGGUUCUUACGCUGGGGGCGAUCCAUCGCUCACGCCGCCAGGGUCGGUGCGCGCGCCAAAACACGAGCGUGGGAGGGGAAGUCUGAAGGUAGCAGAGCCAGGCAGGAGAACCGAAGGCGCAGGCAGAUCCAGGCAGGAUUGGGAAGAAGAAGCCCAACGGGCCCAACAUCAACAGGCAGGGUCAGCGAUUGGUUUCAUACACCAAAGCUGUUGCUUUCCGGCCUGCUAAGAUGAGGUCCUUUUUUUUAGCAGGAAAGAGUAAAAAGAGAAGGAGAAAGUUAAGAUGAGGUCUUUAUGUUGAAAAGAGUCAGUACCAUGUUUAAGCUGGGGAACAGACUAGAAGGGCUAACCUUAACAACAAUUUCAGAAUUUGUGAAUUGUGAGAUAGAUCACCACGUUUGCCACGUGGUACAACAAUUUCAGACUUUGCUUCAGUAAGUAAUCAUCUAUCAGGUUCUGGGAUAUGUGAAUCAAUAUCAAAUUUUGAACUUUUUAUAAUGGAGAUGGAAGGAGGCUCACCUGGACCUUUCUAUGUUCCUGACAAUGAAUGGAAACAACAGCAUAUAGUUAAAUACAUGUUGUGCAUUGUCUGUUCCUGAACAAUAUAAAAGAAAGCAAUACUAUAUGCUGGACACCUAAAUAUGACACAUAGAGAAAAACCACAUACAACUCCAUGUACAUAUGCACUUAUAGUAGUUUACCGCAACUUCUGAAACUUUUUUCUAAAAACCACAACUUUUGUGAUAAUUAUACAUGAAACAUUUAAACUACUCGUCUAGUGGUGCAUUAUGAGAAUGUUGGGGCGGAUGUACGUGGGAGCACAGAUGGGGGCAUGCAGAAGGCCCAUCAAUUAAGAAAUCCAAUUAAUUACAAAUUAAUCUCACCAUUUUGCACAUUAGUUUCACAUCAGAAAGUUUGGACAAUUUUUCUCAUAAAUAAUAUUCAUAUGUGCAUAAAACUGAGUGUUGUGAACGAUAUUCUAAUUCAGGAUUUUAUUAUCAAGAUACAUGUGAUUCAAUAGGUAUUUAUUCCAAUUUGUACCGACACAAGUCCGUCUUUGUACCCCGACACUAUUUGCUCUGACUCUAAAUCCAAAUAUGUAACAAAAGGAAUGGGGUGAUCAAUUCUAUAACUGCCGCAGUUGUGUGGACGAUUUGGAAACAUCGUAAUGAUUUGUUAAUUGCUCGACAUAUUUGGUUAAAUAUUCAGGUACUAUGGAAGAGAUUAUUGUGCUUGUUGAAGCACUGGCAACCGCUGUGUCCGAAGAGGAACAUUCUGAUUUGGCACAGGUGCCUGCUGCUUCUGGAGAACAAGGCCAUGGAGGUACCCCGGCUGCGAUAAGAAAGAAACGUCGCAUGAUGCUUGCUGGCCCGGGGACCCCUCGGGUGACUGAGCAGAAACCUCUGAAGCUGUUUUGAAGGACGCUGAAGAUAUGAUCAUCAGGAUGAUUAGAUCCCUCGCCUUUGUCUGGGAAACUGCUGUGGCUUAUGUCUGUAAUAACUGUUUGUUUUGUUCGUUUUUGGCGCCUGUUUGGUGCGUUGCGUGUUCUGUAAACUGAACCUAACAGAUGAUGUUUCGUUUCUGCUGAAAUGGAACUGGGCAAAAAGACUUUUAUCUAAAAAACAUGAAAAUGAAAGCAAAUGCUACAACUUACUCUCUCCUUUUCAGUUUAUAAGCCUUAUCGCAAAAAUCUCUACUUUUUAGUACGUAAAAGUCUAUUUGUCUUGAGAACAAGCUAACUAUGGCUCCAAUGAACCAAUAGUUGAAAAGGACUAUGUGUGCAUAUACACUUCUUUAAUGAUUAGUCUAGUAGUAGUAGCUAAGUUGGCACUCCUUAGUGUCAAUUAGGAGAUAGACCUUACAAUCUGAAAGGAAGUGAGUAUAUGACAUUUGACCGUAUUCACUCCAAUUUCACCCCUAUGGUAGUCCUCGGCAUGCAGCUGCGAGAUCGAAUUAGCACGCAUGAAAGUUGCAGCUAAACUCAAGUUCAACCGUAAAAUGUUUCAAGCUACAUAUGGUACGCAAAUCACAUGGCGAUAUAACAAAACAUCGUAGACUGCUAAAUAUUUCAUAAUUGAUGUUGACUAUUGACAUAUUUGUCCGCAAGAGCCAAAAUAGAAAAAUGGGAAAGAAAACGGUCAUGAAGCUGCAUUGUCUGUUCUCUUUGUACAACGUCAGAAUUUGGUGCAAAGGCUUGCCACAUAUCCACAUCACACAAGAAAAUAGACACCACAAGGAACGCUUAUCACACAAGAAAAGCCAUCAGCUAAAUACAUGAGCGACAUCUGUAUGUUCUAUACAAAUGCACAAAUGAAUGAAAUCCCAGCCCAUCCGAACAAAUACCCAUAUGGUACACAGACGAUAAGAUUUAUUGGUUAGCUUCGAUCGGUGCACCAGACCUUGCCUGAGAUAUUCGAUUCGCAUAGAUUGUAACAAGCCGCAACUGUGUGCUACUGAGCCCCUCCAAGUAUGGUGCAAAUGCUUUCCCUAGCAUGAUGUAGAUAUCUACCAAGCAGAAUACAACAGUCUGAAAGGAAGUGGAAGGGAUAUCAGAUGUGGAACAUUAGAGAUGUUUAUUAAAUCGAAGUCAAAAUAUUGACAUAGAUAAUCCAGAUGACAAUGUCACCCAGCAAAUGUGGGGUCAAGCAUGAUUAAUGUGCACUAACAAUGACUGAAAAAUGAACAUGGUUCACCAGAAAUUCAAGAGAGACCAUGCACUAAAGCUUCCAAGUGCUAACCACGCUUCGUAUUGAGAUAUCUAUAAAGAAGUAUAAUUGCAAUAGGCAUGAAGAAUUAUUCUAAAAAUAAUGCUGGUUACUAUCCCCGAAGAGUGCCAGUAGCCAGAAGGGUUGUCGUAUUUCCUGGGUGGGGAAAUUUCAGAAGAAAAAAAAUUCUAACACAUCUUGUACCAAUUUAAUAUAGGGCGAAGCUCUAAAUCAAAGAGAUCCAUAGGUUAGCAGAUACGAAGUAAAAACAGAUCCGGGACAUGCUUAUUUCAGUUGUGUCAAUACAAAACUCGAACGGUAAACUAAACUAAACAGAUCAGUUGAGGAACUAGCACUGCCUAUAAAAACGGUAAGGUCAUUCAUAAGAACAAGUAAAUCACCUUGCGAAUAUCAGGACUUUGGUUACUGAAAGCAUCAAAAAGUGCUGGUAAAAAGGAAGGCAGUUGAGUCACCAACUCGUCAUGUGAAAGCCGCCCAACAAGCUGCAACAUUGCCAGGAGAAUACCAACAGUUAAACCAUUACUCAGGAUAUAUUGCUAUAGUUAACCAGAAUAGUGGACAACUCUACGAACUAAUAGUAAUCAAACUCUUGCCAGUCGAUUCUUCCCAUGUAGAACAUUUAAUUUCCCUCGAUAUCUAGCGAUGCUGCUUACAUAGAACAUUUAUUUGAUCGCUGAUGUACACGGGUUAUCAGAUCCAUAGUUAUCAAGCCAAGGAGGCAGGGAACAUGGGCCUGGUGACUACAGACGCACAAUCCAGGGAAACACUAGAUGAACCUGAACCAUCAGCCCUCAGAUCAAUAGUCAUCAAGGUAUGAUGGAGUGGAUGACCCAGAACCAUUCCAUUAGCUCAUGAAAACUUUACAUAGAGAACUUGGCAAAUGAUUCUUCAAAUAAAAAAAUUGUUUUAUUUAAAGGUUACAUGGUGCCAAUAGUAGCUUGCAGCUCAUAACAUAGUCAAACACAGACCAUGGAAUCAGGGUUAGAGACACAAACAAGUAACAGUAAUAUGUAUUAAAUCCGGGUUGUUGAUAAUUCACAUGACAAUAUGCCACAUAAAAUGAGUUGAUUAUUCCUUGCCUGAUCUGAUAUAUUCAUCUAAUUACAUAUAAAGCUAAUACUGUACUAUUUAAAAUUAGCGUGAAACUAAAAACUAAGAUACCUUUGUCAAACAGUUGAUACACAUGAUAAGUGUCUUCUCGUCGUCACUGACUAGCAAGGGCACAAUAACCUGCAGCACAAACAAACAAAAUUGUGCUCAGUAGUAUAAGUUGCUAGCUACAACAACCACAAGAAGAUUAAAGCACUGGACAUACAUCAAGGCAUCUAAAAGGAUCGUAUUUUGCCAACACAACAUUUAAGUAUUGGUUUGCUUCAUUUGAAAUCUGCAUCAGCAGUAAAAAAAUAUUAGCACAGCAUAAACAAAAGAUAACAGCUUAAAUGAAAGAAAAUAUACCUUUGCCACAACAUCUUUGGUGACAUGCAGUAUCUUUUCAAGGACAAUCUCUACGGAUUCUUCCAUAGGAUCUUUCUGAGAAAAUAAUUGACAAUAUUAAUCAUCAAGCUACCAGCAUGAUUACCUACUUAAGUGCACUAUACAUGAAUACAAAACCUGAUUGUGGAGCAUCUCAGCAACUAGCGAUAGAGAAAGCUCCCUGAGAGAAGAAUCAGAGUCAUCCAACACCUCAAGGACAGUUGUUAAAAUCUGAUUGAAAUACUAUUUAUAAAGAAAAGGGGACAGGUAUUAGAAUAUAAAUAUGAAAUAUAACAUAUAGAAAUACUCCGUCCCUAAGUUCUUGUCGUGAUUUUAGUUAAAAUUUGCACUAAAGCCACGAUACGAAUUUAGGAACAGAGGGAGUAACAAGAAGUGACAUAUUAGACACAGGAACGUGUAGUAACUGUUUAGAUAGAAUCCAAAUGUCACUUUUCUCUGUUGUUGAGAUGGUGAAGUAUUCAUCAUUUACAGAAACCAUGUCAUCAAGAGUAGAAAAUCGAGCAGGCGGAUUGCACCAGAAAGAAGGUAUUUAAAAAAAAUAACAAUAGGAGACAGAGUACUCUAUUAGUCUAAUGAAAGUGAAUGAUGAGUCACCAUAUUCAAAUCAGAUAAAAAGGAAGAUGAUGCAUUCUCAAGCGUACUGCAUUUCUCUCCCUCCCACCUGGCAUACUCUCCAGAAAUCCUUUAUUCUCUUACCAGUCAGAUGGCAGAUCGAAAAAAAGUUAAGAUUGAAUGAACUCAAAUGCACAAUGAAAUACUUUGUUAAGCUCAAUUAUAAACACACAAAAAGAAAGCAGUAAGAAUAUCAAUGGUUCUAGUCAAAAAUAAAAUGGAAAUUUCAAAUGAAUUUACAGACCUUUGGCCAUAUAGAGUUAUCAUUGUUGGCGGAAGCUUUCACCAACUGAUGUAGCGCAUCCUGCUUCUCUAAGCAUGAAACUUCUCUAUCAUUACUUAUCUAAAAAAGGUAGAAAGCCAUAUAAUCAUGACGUUAUUUAGGAUGAUGAGAAGUAAAAGCAACACAUAGCAUCAUUACUAUCAGAACCAACAAAGAUGAGGGGGGCAAGGACAUAUCAGAAGUACCAGAUGAAGAAGCUGUGGUAUGCUGGGGUUGUCAGUUGUGUGCGAGGCAGCCUUCACAGAACUAAGGUCGACAAAUUGGUGUAUGUCUUGAUUGUUCACCCCAACAAUCGAAGCAACAGCAUUAUGUCCAUCAGAAACAAGAACAUGGCAAAAAUCCUGGCGAGGGGUGCCAGUAGAAUUUUCAUCAUCGAUGGUGGCAUCUGAUUUUUCAGGAUAAUCUGCCCAUGAGCGUGCAGCUUCUACAACUGAGCGAGCAUUACUCUUUGAUUCCCUACUUGCUGUAAGAAUUUCAGGUUCGUAGGUAGGUUUGAAACAUUGGUCAGCAUGGUCAGUGCCAACAUCAGAGGUUGUUCGGCCAAUGGAGACAUUAAGAAAUGUUGAUUCUUGCACUGCAUUCCUCUUCUCCGCUUCAUUAUCAAGGGAACUUGAAGAAAACCGUCCAAACGGAUAGUUCUUCCUUGAUGUCAGAGUAUAACCAUCUUCAGAAGAAGCUCCCAAAUCAGGCUGUUCAUAAGACUUGGGACGUGAACGUUCUUUCUUGCUUUGCAGGUAGUUUACCAGGUCAACCUCAAUGCGAGGAGUAUAUUGCUUGAGAGCUCGCCUCACAAGGUUUUGUUCUUCAACUGACAAGUUUAAAAUGAAAUUUAGGACUGCCGCUGAAUCAAAAUGAGAAUAAACUGAUAUGAUUCCUUUGAUGGAUGUUUCCUUCAACUUUGCAUUCUUUUCAUGUACUAAAGGUGCUAGUUUUGAAAGCCAGAGCUUAAGAAAACCGCUGUUACUGUAACCCUCAGAGUCUACCUUGUACUUGCUGAAUGAUUUAUUAGCAAACUCAAGAACAGCUAGUUUAGCCUUUGGAGACCUUUGUUCAUCCAGCGAACGUACUAUUGCAGGUAGCAGUGUGUCGAUAGCAUAUGUUCGUCCGACAACUUCCAGGGUCGAGAAACAUGGCUUAGAAACCAAUUCCUUUGGAUCAAUAAGUCUUGAAAAGACAUACGGCAAAAUUCUUUCAACAUAGCUCUCAAAUGGCUUCUUGCAUGCUGGAAUAACAUCUGCAAGCGUGGAGAAAGCUGCCUGUGCAACUUUGUGAUGAGGGUCAUCCAAAUAACGGAAAAAUAGCUUCAUGACCUUUUCAAAGCUCUGAGUAAUCUCCUGAAUGCCCUUCUGUCCUUGCUGCAACAAUGUCUGAACAAAAUUAAAAGCUGCAACUCUUGCCACCCAGUCUGAACUUGGACUAAGACCCUCAGAGAGUGCAUCAUUUAGAGACGCUGGGCCGUCCGUGUAUCCAGACAUGUCAUUAGAUGGGAUGUGGCCAUCAUCAAAACUGUGUCUGACACUCGCAGAAGGCCUUGAUCCCACUUGCUUUCUAAGAGGCCUCUGGAAGUGUGGAACAUUGUGGUUCUGUGAAUUUCUAUAACUGGCAUCCCUAUAAGGCAUAUCAGUGAAGUAUUUGUCCAUAUGCAUUUGUGGUGAUUGUCUGGUUGGCCUUGACCACGUGUCAUUACUCUCACCCGUAAUGCUAUCAUCUUGGGACCUCCCUGUAGAUCUUUUCAUAUAACGCAUUGACAAACCUGACAUUCUUUCAGAUGAUAGAUUACUCAAAUAUGGUGACCUCGAUCGCUCUUUGGUAUCUACCUGAGGCACCGCAUCUACCAAACGCGAACCGCCAUUUCUUCUGGUAGUUAUGCUAGGAAGAGAUGAAUCCAACAAUGCAGAACUCUGCAAAGACAUGUGAUCCGAAGCAGGUACAGCAAGCGGGAUUGAAGGAGCACGAGAGGAUGGAGGAUCAACUCCUGCACUAGGAGGAAAAGAAAAAGAAAUUAAGGAUUCUCAAGUACAUAGAGAUAAGUCAUGAAAGGAAUAGUAAUGAAGACUCGACAACAUAAAGAGCAUUUUGAUGUUCUAUGAAAAAAAAAAUCGUUAAGCAGCAUACAGCAUACCAAGAUCCAAGCUUGUUGAGCGCACAGCUGAGAAAUUUUGCCUGCCUGAGAUGCCAACACCUUUCAAUAGACUCUCAAUGGCUGAAACCUUUUGUUUGCUCGAACUAAGCACACUUUCAAUGCUUCUUUCAGUAUGUCUACCAGCUGCCUUUGACUGUGACAGAAGAAUGCUUGACGAGAGAGACGAUUCGGAGGAAAUUGCUGCACCCUUGUCCAUUGCAACAAUAGAUGAAGUACUGUAUCCGGCCAAAUGUGUAGCACUUGCAUGAGACGAGGCACGAGAAAGUUGAACACCCUUCUCAUGCAAUGAUGAAGGAUACCGCUUGUGCAUGCCCCCAUCUUCAUCAUUUAUUAUCUGCAAAUGCUCCCAGUAUUAGAUCAAACUAACAGAAAUCUCGAACAGUAGCAUAGCAACCCUUGGAACCACCUAAAGCUCCAGGUGUCGAAGAGCCAACAUCGAGGUCUGAACUAACAUAAAUUGCCAUAUGUGGGAGCAGGGGAGCGCGCAUAGCCACCGAGCUACUAGGGCAGCAGCACAACCAAAUUCAGAUGUGCCACCCCAUCCCUUAUGGUUACAUAAACCUAGGAGCAGAUAGCCAUGUAUUACAUAAACCAAAAUUUACACAGUGAUCAUAAUAUAGCUAAAUAGCACUCCUAACUUAUCUCCUCAGUCUUGAACUAAUUAGGAUAAAACAUCCAUCAGUACUUGAUUUGCACUGCAUUCCACAAACUUGCAGACAAUUGGCUAUUAUAGUCAAAUCUAGAAAUAUGGUUGCAAAGUAAACAUCAGUCCUCAGGUUCUAUACGUACCUUUCUUUAAGAAUUAUUCAAACAUAAAAAAGAAACAGUACAAACAACUCGAUCUGCAAAGGGGUAAGCCGCCACCCCCCACCCCCCACCCCACCCCACCCCCCCAGGCAUUUGCAUUAAGAAGACCUUCUCACGCAGGUCAAGAAACCCCCGAACCCCUGCCCCACCCAUACACAGCGGAACCGAAGCCCGUGUGAGACCGGGGGGGCCUUCGGUCUGUGCUUAAGGCAUGGGACAGACGAGGAGUUUUUUAACCCCAGCCUGAAAUUCACUCCCACGGGGAGUCAAACUCAGGACCUGAGUGUACUAGAGUUGUUCCCUUAACCAUUAUGCCAAGGGCUCGUUCAAAAAAAAAAGAACAAGAUAUUAUAAAACCCAAAGGCAAGAACUCUGCUUCCAUGAGAUUCAUAAAAUAAUCUAAAUAAUGUCCUUAGGUGGAAGAUAGUUGCAUGGAUUUUUAAAUCUAUAAGAGCUAUUGCUUCCUCUCUCUCUUUCGAAUCAGCAACACACGAAAGUAUGAAUAUACAAUCUGGAAAAGCAUGCAGAGAAACAGAUCUGCGUACCCUCUGUAUUGCAGGAUCAAAUGACAUAAAAAGCCGACGUGAGCGUUCAGGCCAUGUCUUUAUGAACAUCCUAUAGCAACUUCUUGCAGUUGCACGAACCUGUAUUUGAAAUAUGACAUUACAUACAUGAAGUAACACAAAUACGGACAAGUUUCAGGCUUCAAUAUUGAACAGUACUUUUGUGAUGUUAAAUUAAGUCCAGAAACAUGGAUAUUGUUAGUGCUACCUCACUCAUUGCAUCAGCCACACAGCACUUUAUCAGAUCUUCAUAUAUAUCAGCUGAGCGUUGUACUUCUGGAGCAUCUGCCCAAUAUUCCAAGAUUAGUAGUGCAUAUUCACAACACCUGCAAUAGGAGGAAAAGUAUGAGCAGCUUUAAAAACCCAUGCAUGUUAAGACAAUGCUAAGUGCACAAGUACCUAGCACGGAGGAUUGCACUGCGGUCAUUCUUUGCUGUGUCCGCUAUAAGAGGAACAAGACGUGAAACCUUGCAAUUCCGCAGGAUCUGCAAGAUAUUAAAUGUCAGAGAAGGAAAUAUGUAUUUAAAGCUAGUACCAUGGUUCAAUACAAGAAGGCAGGAACCUCACAGUUUUUACACAGUUGUCUGAAGAUUCAGCAAUCACAAGCACAGUUAUGACAACAAGCUUAAAAAGUGCCUGAGAAUUUCAUUGAUAUGUUAGUCCCAAUGGUAUUAGGCAAGAGUUUCAAAACACUGAAAGUCUGAAACAGCUUCAAGGAUUACCGGAAUAAAUAUUUCCGCACAUGCUUCGAAGUCACUGAGGAGUUCCUUUGAUAGUACAUUAAGUAGAUGACAUGCCUGGGAAAAAAACGAGUCAGCAAGUUUUUUAUCACUAAGAAGUUUGUGCUUCCACUGCAUAUUUAACCAGAAAACGUUCUGACAAAACUUCAUAACACCUGCAUUUCUUACAAAAUGAAACUUCAGACUGAACUGAUGUUUUAGUAUAGUAGCUAUUAACGACAGAAGUGUAAAAUUCUUUUUGGGAUGUCUUACUGAAACUCUCAAAGGUCAUCCAGUGUAUCAUGCAUGUCCAAGAUAACUAGAUGACAGAAUGGACAUGCAUGAAACCCCCUAAUGUCAACAAGACAAUAACUAAGCAAACCUGGAAGUUCCAAUGCAGCACGUCCAUGUAUAAUAUUAAGCAUAAGCUGGGAGGUACCUUGGUUCAAACUACAAUAAGGUAGGACACUAGCAUUAACUCAUCUCAGUCCUGGGUAGAUGAUUCUAAACCUAAUUGGAACUGAAAUCUUGGUGAAUUUGUCUCAUGGUCUAUGGAACACUGUCACUUACCCUUACUUAUGUUGUAUUAGUGCUUGGUUGACUAUGGAAAUUGGAACAUUCAGUCCUAAUUGUGUUGUAGUAGUUGUGCUUCACUCUUAUCAUUAUCAACUAUUUUUAUUAAUAAAUUGUACCACGGGUCCACAAACUUGGGAGGUGGCAGCAAGUGGGUACAAGAAUUAGACAAAAAUAACUAAUUGAUGUCACCAUUGCAUGACUCAGCCACAAUGUAGCUGUUCAGUUUCUUUUUUUCCCCUUUUUUUGCAACACUCACCUCUCAUCGACUCACAUGAGCACAUCCAGCCCCCCUUCCACAUGCCUUUACAGUUUGCGUCGAAACAACCCUACGCCUUCAACACACCUGGUAUCUGAUCACAUUUAUCCCUUGAUCUACCACGGGGCUGCAACCAAGCACUAAGAUGGCAGCGAACAGGAUCAGCAGCACAGUGGAGCAGGGACAGGAAGGUGUUGCUCUCCACAAGGAUGCCACCUAUAUUUUAGGUGGCGGCCAAGGUUGCACGAUAAUAAGGUGAAUCUUCUACACCGAUUUGUCAUGUUCUUGUACUCAGUUGCACCCACCUCUAAAAUUCAUACAAGCUCCUAUUUAUUUUUCGAGUGGAUUUUAUGCUUGCAUGGGUGAGAGCUCAUACUAUGUCACCCAAUGUGCCUUUGGAUUUGUGCAGUCACUCCACAUUUCACUUGGGUGAGAGAAUUUGCACAGAUCUCAAGGCACAUUGUAUCGGUGAGGUAGUAUGAGCACUCACUCAUAACAGCAUAAAUGCUUUGCUGCAGAUUUUGAGGAAAUAGGUCUUUGUGUUGCAACUUGCAAGGAAUUAGCAUUUACAAUUUAGUGGUCAAUAAAGAUCAACAGGCAAGGAAAUAACACCUGCUUUACAAUGCUAGACCGUCGAUCACAAAGCUGGGAGGACAAUGGAUGAACUAGCUGCUUCAAGAGCAUGAAAAAUGAUGGAUAAUCAAUUGCACCUGAUAAAAGAAGUUUCAAGUAAAAUAUGCAAAAUUGUGUUAGCAAGAAAGGACUUAGUAAUAAUGAAAAUGUAUCAUUAUGUUUGAGGAGUCAACACUAUGAAACAAUAUAGUGUAAUAUUAUGCUAAUAAAGGGAAACAACUUCUUUUUACUGUCCCUAUAUUAAUAUUCACAGUUAGCUUGUCCCAUUCGAAUGAAAUUAUAUAUAGCCUAUAUUCUUAACAGUUGGCAUCUCCAGGAUAUGAACUACUGAUAUUGCAUUCUAAAUUUCCAAUUCAUGGGCAGUCAAUGGGUCAUCAUUCAUUAUGGAACAAUGCCAUAGGGCAGUUCUGGUGAAACAUAGUGCCACAUUAAGUUGUUGAAAUUGCUUAGGUGUGAGCUUUUACAACUGUGUCAUCUAGGUCCUUUAACUUGUCAAGCUCUGACACUUAUGCCUGGGAAAUUUUUAACUAAGGCACUAACUAGGGGAUGGGUGCUCUAUUUUAUUGUUUUCCUUAGUGUUUUAAAAGGAUUAUCUACCUCUGGAUUGUCCCUCGGUUCAUCUUUUACAUAUUAUUGCAAGAGCUUCAAGCCCGGCUGCCCAGGGCAAGUAUAUUUUCUGAAGAAAUCAAUUCAACAACGAAACAAAAAUGCAGAUACAAAAAUAGGAGGUGGGAGACAAAUAUCAACCUCCAUAUACCAAGGCUUCAAUCCUUUGCAUUGCGGCAAUACGUAUAGACCAAUCCUUUUCUGGGUUAAGGGCAGCUGCAAUCUUUUCUACCUCUCUGACUAACUCUUUCUCUGAAUGAACUCUUAUGGGUUCCACUGGCCUUUCAGUAAUAUCUGUAUCAGCUGUAAAUUGACACAAAAUUCAGCAAGACAUAGAUAUGAUGAAUGUGCUUCGACUGAGACAAAACUUCAGAAAUAGUAAGUUAUUAUAAAUCCAGUUUCAUCACAACAGCAACUUCUGGCUACUGAAACUUUAUUUGCUAAAUUAUUUUGGAGACAAAAGUUCAUACCAAAUAGUGGAACAGGAAGCCUCUACCAUAUAUACCAAGCAAAGAAACGAUGCCACUGUUUCUAAUGGGGGCAUAAAUAUGAUAGUACAUACUGCUAAAAGGGACAGCUGCAUUUAAACACAUCGAAUGAAUGACCUAUCAAAUUUCAAUUGGCACAACACGGAACACGCCAAUAAUUAACACGUAGAAUAUUUCAAGCCUAAUAGUUUUGGGAAGCAACAUGUGAUGUCCGCUAUAAGUAUUUCACUGGAUCCACAUGUGGCAGAAUUCUGAAGUCAUGAACAACCUACAAUGCAUUUUAAUGAUCAUUUUAUGUACAUGACAUGACUACAAAAAGAAUGUCAUGUGGAACAGAGCACGCAAAGACCGGUAAUAUGUCUCAUUGGAUCGGCAGUAAUAGAUUGGAUUGGCAAUUUCUGUCUACUAUAAUAACUCUUCUAGGCAAGUAAACUAAACAUUAUUAAAAGGGCACGCCUAUUAAAAGCAACAAAUAUUUUUGUUCUUGAAUACCAACAAUGUAAAAGAAAUGGAAUGGUAGCGUAGAAUCUCAGAUCAAGGAACAUUAAAAUAAAAGACUACAGACUGCAAUGAGAGACUAAAAUAUUGGCAACAUCAUGGUAAUGCUCUAGCAAUAAUCAUCUAGGACUCUAAAGAAACCCCUACAGAUACAUGCGAAAAGUGCAAAUAAUUUUUCGUUGUUCUUAGCCAUUACUUAAAAUCGUGGUAUACACCUUUGGUCACAUCAAAAAUAAUAUUCAAAUAGAAUGGAUCUUCCAGUAACUCAAAAGGUAAAACUUGCCUCCAAAUAAUGUGCUUUCCCUUGAUGCACUUUUUUUCCUUGGACUGCCUCUUUUGGGAUGAGCACUAACAGACCUUUCCAUGGCCUUAUAUUGCAUUCUAGCACCAUCAGAUGAGGGAACCUUUGGUUCUAUUUUGUCCAAUCUUGAAUUUAUUUCCUUUAGCUGAAAACAUCAGAUGAGGAAAGGAAUGAUAAUCAUGAUGUCAGCAUGAGUGCACGACUAACGUUAGUAAAGGACUAGAUGCGUUGGUGGAUUACCAUAUAAGAAGGCAGAUUAUGGCGCUGCAGCUCUUCAUGGAACUGAGAUCCCAUAUUUUUGUACAUCUCCUGUAGUGAACAUAGAUUAUGCAAAUUAUUAUUAGUAUGUGCAGGAUAUCAGUCACUCACAUGCAGAGUAGUCAACAUGUGUUAUACUAUGGCAUAAGCCCAAAGAAGAAAAGACUACCAUAUUCGGUCUGCAUUUGACUCCAAGAUCCCCCUUAUCCAUCAUCGAUUUCAUGUAUUCACUUUUCAUUAUUAUCCUAUCUACCCUAUACAUAGACCAAUGAAGACUAUUCCUAUACCCCCUUUGCUCAGUCCUAAAACUAGAGAAAGGCAGAACAGAAGAAAAAAUUUGUGCGUCCGGCAUCUCCCUUGCUUCAACUAGUUCAAUGAAUUAUAUGGUUCUAAACUUAUGAUGCAGAAUGGGUGAAAUGGAAUGAAGCCAGAAGAGAACACACAAAUGUACAAUGUAUGUUUUCUUUAAGUGAAUUGGUUUGGUACAAGAAGAAAGCCACUGUACUAUACAACCCAGUUAGCAUCAUAAGGAUGCUAGACUAAACGAGAACUUAGGCAUGAGAGAAAACCAAAACAUGAACAAACAGCCAUAGAGGGAGUGUGAGUUGAAGAAAUUUUUGCAUAAGAAACCGAAAAGUAUCAAAUUGCAGACGUUAGUAAUAAACCACCUGAAUACAUGAGAUUGCAGCAUCUCUAACACUUUGGUUUGAAUCAUUCAGCAACUGCAGGACCUGUGAAAUUGAAACAAGACUGGCAGUUAGCAUUGACAAUUAUGAACGAAAAUAAAAGGAAGAAGCAGAUAUUCCAUGCUCAGUAAGGAGAAAAACAUCCUGACAUACAGGUGAAAGAAACACUCGCUGCAGAAGGAGCUCUGUAGAAGCAAAAAGCCCAACUGCCGUUGCAAGAGUGCGCACAAAUUCUUCUCGCACCCUCCAGCUCUUAUGACUCCAAGCAUAACUUCCAGCUCUUUCAACAAUGAUUGUUGGAGAAGAAACCUGAGAUCGUAGAGAUAGAUCAGUUUAAUAUGACCCAGAAGAUAAGCAUAGGGUAAAAAAAUAUCGAUAUUAAGAUAGGAUAAUCAACAUGAUAAAUUAGUGAUUACAGUGCAACUCAAUUGAUAAUUUUACAUGCAAACAAGAGUAUGCGCCAUAGGGAAAUAUAUGAUAUAUCAAAGCUCACAAGGCAAUACCAAGGAGAAGUUUUUGUUCAAAGCACAGAUGAAAAUAUUUUAUAAUGAUGUAAUGAUAAGGAACAACUUGUUUCAACUUUUCAACAACAGAGGAAAGAAAAAAUUUCGCAAGUUCUGCAUCAACACAUCACCAAAGCGUUUAAAGAUUAAAAAAAACACAUCACUGCAGUCUGCAAUUUCACAUGUAUCUUUAUCUUUGCUCUUAAACUAUCAGGAAAUUACUGAAAUUAUCAUCCAGUCCAUGUAGCAUAUAUAUGUAUCACGAUCUUUUGAUUAGUGAUUCGCUUGAUGUAUACUUUGAGAUGAUUUUUAAAAUUUUGCAGAUUUAGGGAAUGAUGAUUAAACAACUCAUGCAAUAAGGAAAACAAUUAUGUAGCACUGCAUGAGCAAAAGAAGAAGCCACGUACAAAAAAAGGAACCAAUAGUUUUAUUUGCUUCCUCUGUGUGGCUAAAGUCCGACAUUUGCAUGUAAUUUCUUGAAUUAAAUCACCAAAAUCAAUAUGACGGGCUUCAAAUUUUUGAACCAGAUCGAGUUGUAUUUGAAGGUGUUGAAUUCUGGAGCGAGAACCGGCAUAAUUUGACAACAUCCACCUAACCAAAUAGAAUGUAAUGCUCAAUGGUUGUGUUGACUAAUUAUAUGGUAAAGUUGCACUUUUUUAUUUAAUUGCUUUAGUAGUAGUUUAUGCACCUCAGACAUGUAUUUUGCAAGCAGUGUGAAAAAGGGUGAUCUAAAUUUCUUUGAAGACUGCAAACUCUAGCUUGCUAUAGAAGUGUGGUACUGCGGUUGAGCAUUUGAAAAGUUGGCUGAUAUUUUGUUGUAGGUCCAUCAAUGCUGCUAGAUCAUACCAGCAACCAAAAGAGUUAGAGUUAAAAGCGUAAGAACUGCUUCCUCAUAGCUCAAAUCGGGUAUUGCAUUGGAGUCUAAAACAGGAAUUUCUAAUUUAAAGUCAAUGAAUAGCUAAUUCCGCUCUAAAACUCACAUUUGCAACUGCAUCCAAUCCAAACACUAACUCUUCACUUCACAGAUUCUGCUCUAGCUCAAAAUGGCUGACGCCACCAACUCCCGAAGUUCCACCCUCUCUCACCCAGUUCAACACAUACAUACAAAGUGUGCAAUCUCAAUACACUGAUUAUCAGAUCUUUGCUCGAGCUAUAUCUCAUCGAACACAUACCACCACCAGAACCCAAUUCGAAGAGCACGAACGAUUCCAAAAUACGACAGUGAAGAUGGUGACGGCUGACCUCCAUGAGGGUGACCAGGAGCUGUCGGGAGGCAUCACGAACAGGCUGCUUGCCAUCGCCGAGGCGCUCGACGGCCGCAGGGACGAGAGCAUUCAGGUGGAUCUUAAAGUGGUCGCCGGCGAGCACCGCGGCGGCGGAGAGCGCGUUCAGCCCUCCCUGCGCGACACGGAAGUUGGCAUCCUUGGUCAGAUCCAUGCAGGUGUCAACCAGUGACGUCACCUCCACCGCCGUCAGUCCACGCCUCGCCGCCGCCUCCAGCGCUUCGUGUAGCCGCUCCACUCCGGCAAGACGCUCCUUCGUGUCCUUGGAGCGCGCCGCCUCCAGCGCCGCCUCCAUUUCUGCCAGCACCAAUGCUUACUCGGACGAAGACCACGGCGACGACGACGAGUAGUGGUAGUUGGGUUUAGGGUUCCCGACGAAUUCGGGGAAAUGGCAGGGGAGACAACGGUGGGGAGGGGAGUGGUCGGAUCUGAGAAAGGAAGGGAAGAGUGUGAGUGUGCCAGAGAGUUGUUCGGGUAUUUUUGUGUGCAUAUAGGUCCCUAUUAUUUUUGUGAUGUUACGCAUAGCACCCUGCUGUGCGCGCAUCACAAAAAUAAUUGCACGUAUUCUGCACUUUGUACAACGACUAGUUUGUCGCACAUUUUACUUAUUUAUUGAACUGUGAGUUGCGUACAAGUGUACAACUGUGCAAGUCAAGAAAGAUGAACGGGAAAAUGCAAAUUUAUGCCUCUCGUAUUGUCUGGACGUGGCAUUGUCUCUUAGUCCUUCUUGUUAAUUUUUAGUCUACAUGGCACGUACAAGUUACUCUCUGCGUUACAUAAAAAUUUGCGAGACGAUUAUGAGAAUCACCUUUUAUGUUGCUAUAUGUACGAUUUGUUAUGUAUGAACUUGUUACGAUGCCUCACAAACAAGCAGCGCCACUGCCUGGCCUGGGGUUUUUUAGAUAAAUCUGGUAAAUUAUUAGGAAUUGUGACAACUUCGUAUGGAAAAAUUGUACAUAAAGCAUUUUUGUUAGUUCGGUGUGGUCUAACAUCACCUUCGUCCAAGUUACGAAAGUAAAAUGGGAAAAUGCAGCUUAGAAUGACUACGGCUGCACCAUUGGGAAGACAUGAUGCCUAAAACCGUCAAUGCCAAAUAGAUAAGGAUUGAAAUGAUAUGAAGAAACAUCCCAUUUGAUCUGGGCCUAUGUGCCCGGACCUGUGCGGUGGCGGUCGGGAACUAGUCUCUACGGGUUUGGAGCUCUUCGGUGCAGGGCCUUGUGAUGCGAGGCUCUAGGUGUGUCGCCGGCCUCUUGCGCAGUGUUGCACCGGCAGGUUCGGGCGUGGGUGGUGGCUCUCCUCCGAUGAUGACGACUACUGAUUGUGCAGUGCGGGUUGUACUUGCGGCAGUCUGGUGGUGGUGCUCGCGGUGCUUCGGGCGAAAGCUUUGCACGGUCUCUGUCUGUGCCGACGGCGGCGACGCUUUCAAGCGUCGCUCUCUUCCUUGGUGGCGUCGUCAUGAAGCCCUGGCAUUCUUGUACCCCUUGGAGACAUCACUCCGGGCGAAAGACCAAAUCCAACGGCGUUGGUUUGCUCGACGAAGGCAUUUUUAGCGUUGUUUACCUCCUGGAAGGCGUCGAGUUUGGGGUUUUAUCUUUUUGCCGGCUAGACUGGUCUGACCGUGCUCCGACCUACUCGUGUUUGCUAGGUUUUGUGGCAUGUGUUGGUUUUCGUUCGGUUUCUCCUUAAUUAAUCGUGCUCUGUAUGGUUUUUUGGUCCGGUUUUCCUCAUAAGCUGGAUCACCUUUCCCUUAGUUGGAUUCUUUCGGUCACGUCUUUGACAAUGAAUAACCCCCGAUGGUUAUUUCGUUAAAAAAAAGAAAAGAAAUUUUCUUUAAAUAAAAAACUAGUUGAAAUAGAUUAGCGUUUGGCCCAGUAGGUUAAAAUAAUAACAUCAUACAUCUGUCGUGAAUAUUUUUCCCUAUAAUACAACCUUUUAUAGAUCUGUUUCAUAAUAUAUAUUUUUGACGAUCAGUUUAAUAAAUAUUGACUACACACUAAAUGUCAAAGACGUUUGCUUUCAGUUUCUCUCCGCAAAACGCAAAAAGACCCGAUAAAACACUAGCAAAAAUAAUUUGACGGAAAAACACCAGCAAAAUAAAUCUCGUUAAUACUAGUAAUGGACUACGAUGUUGUUUUUGAGCCGGCCUCACGAAUGCUCAGUCAUUUCGGUGUGGUUGUCAGUGAAGCAGGGCUCGAUGAAUGUCAAGGAAACUCCAGCUUGCAUGAUUGUAUCUAUGUCCCCAGCAAAGCUGAAGUACCCCUUUUACCUGCAUGGUUUCCGUCCAGUCGUCCUUGCUAAUGGCUGCAGAGGAGGUUCUACGACCAAACGAACGCCCUGCUGGGCUGAUGAUGCUUGCGAUUUGUCAAAAGCACGAGCCUUUAUUUGGGAGACGAAAGAGGAUAAAGGCACACGGGAGAGGAUUAGUUGAGUUGUAACGUCAUCAUAGUAGGUGCAAGUGCACAUUAUGAUUGACACUAUGAUAGUGGUCCUCGAGUACUCAUCGAAAGAGUGGACGCAUAAGAGCUGGAGCGUGCAGGGUACGAGUGGUAUAUGAUACGACCGUGCAGAUGCCGUGUACCCGGAACCCGAUUGGGUUCAAAUCCUUGCACUUGCAUUUCGAAAAAAAAAAAAUCCUUGCACUUGCAGCCUUACUACGGCUACGCGUUGUGAUGAUAAUGUGGUGAUGAUGCUUUACCUAACUAUACUCUGACAUGGUGCUUGCUUUGCGAAUUGGGAUAUUAUUGUAUUAUCGUUGUGCUAAAUUAGCAGGAGCUUUUUGGGAUCUCUCAAUCCAUGCUGGUGAUGCGUACCGCCUACCGGUAUUGAAACGAUUCCCUGUAAGUCUGUACCGGUACCAUCGCAUUGGUGUUCUCUAACGGGAAAAUCUACAGUAGAUGGAAAGGGGCUAUACCGGAAAGAGCGACUAUCGUGUGCAGCGCAGAUUUUGGCAAGGCAAUCGAUCAAAACCUGGUGAACGAGAGUGGCCACAACAGGGUCGCAAAAAAUGGAGAUUGAUUGAGAGCAUAGGUGGCCAACGGGCCGGCCCAGGCCCAGCCUGGCCCAUGGAUUAACGGGCUGGGUACGGCCCACAGACGCUUGCCCGUUUAUAAAUGGGGCGUGCCGGCCUGCUCCCGGGAAUUUCAGGCCCAGGCAUAGUUCAGUUGUUUUGUACUUUUUUUCGGUUAUAUGAACCGGCACACCGAUUUUCUUGACAAACAGCUGCAACAAGCCAUUUAUUGCCAACAGAGAGUCGACAGAGUUGACUCAAAGAAUACACGUUUGUUUUUUUUACAUCGCAUAUUGUUGAUGCGAGUAUCUUGUUUUGGGUUACGGUACAUGUUGUUCAUGCAUGUCAUGACUGCAACACACUUAAGACUGGAAAGAGACGUUAGGCUUACAGUCCUCCGAAAAUAAUUCGGUGCAAGAGGCCCGUUCAGUACUUGCGAUGUCACCAAACUGAAGGUGUUCAUUCUGUCAUUACGUGGGAGCGGGAUACAAAAUGUGGAUGCUUGUGUACGUACUAUACUACUCGCUUGUGUACGUACUAUACUACUCCAGUUAACUUUGUAGCUUUAAUUCCUACGCAUCCACGUAAUUCCUCUUGCCAUCCCUGUAGGGUUAUCAAGGACAUUGAUAAGUUCUGACAAUGUCCAGAACAUUCAAGGUCAGCGGGCAAAUUUUGUGAAGCACCACAGACCUUGGUGAUCUCGGAGUGCUUAAUCUCCCACUUUCCAUGAGAGGCUUACGCUUAGGUUGCCUUGGCUGCAUUGACGAACCUGACAAAAGUGUGGCUAGGAGCUAACAAAAGUGUGACGAGAUUUAGACUUUUUCUAUGCAUUCACGUCCAUUACUAGUGCCGAUGAGUUGAAAGCGCCUUCCAGGGAUUCACCUUGGCUGCAGGGAGGUCGGCCAAAGGAUAUUCUCUCUAAUCUAUGAAAUUUCUAGAAAGAAAAGAUGGACGCAAGCUUUGCACCAUGGCGCACGAAUUAGGCAGGUUGACAUGAGAGCAAGCUUAAGUGUGAUGCACAUGCAUCCAGGAAUUUGUGGGGUAUCCAGUUGAGUCGGAUCCAUUUGGAUGUGGUGUCCCUGACACAAUUAUUUAGAAUAUCGUCUCAUCCGAAAAUUAUUCUUAUUUGAUGGCUUACCAUGCCCACUUCGCUAGAGCUACGAGAUCUAAAAUAUGUCGUGUGGUGUGGUCUCCGCCAAAAUGCAAUUUUUUUAAAUAAAGUCUGGACGACUGACCGUUUAGAGCGGCGUGGAUGGCCAAGUUGUGGCCUUUUGCCCGCUUUGUGAGCAAGUCCAAAGUCGACGAAUCAACUUCUUAUAAAGUGCAGAUUUUCCAUCCGACUGUAAGCCAUGGUGUUAAAUUGUCUCGGUCUCACCUUCAUCGUUCCCUCGAAGUGGGCUAAGGAGACCUUGGUCAAAAGUUGAUGGACUAAAAUGAGCAGCCAAUCAAAAGGUUUGGCUUCCAUAACAAUGUUUGUGUCAUGAGAGAUUUGGAAUGAGAAGAAUGUCCGCACUUUCGUGGACACUCGACAUUGUCCUCGAUUAUACUACUCCCUCCGAUACAAAAUACUUGUCGCGGCUUGGUCUAGAGACGCAUGUAUCUACACACUGAAAAGUUCUAGACAAAACUUGAUGCUGCAAACUAGGUGAUCGCAGACACAAACCGGUUGAGUUCUUUGAUGUCGUGAGAUUAAGUUUCUUUUUGGCGCGUCGCUUGCCGUGUUUUUCUUUGGUUUUGAUCGUUUAUGUAGUCGGUUGUACUCCUACUCUUAUUCUCUUGUCUCCAUUUUGAAAAAUAAUAACAAUCCUAGUGCAUAAAUUCGGAAAAUUUACCCCCACCCCCACACCCAAACGGCAAGCAAGACAGCCGAGAAGCAAAACAGGUUUCCCCCCACCGUGCGAGUGCUAAAUACCGGUGCUGAUCGUGCAAACUUCUGUUCUUUCCUGAACAUAAACGCUCUGCUUUGGUUGUUGGGCACAUGAUCCAAGGCGGGCGGAGGUACCUGUCUGUGCUGCUAUCCAUCAACCAACAGCCUCUCUUCUGCGCAUUUGCAAGGGACAAGGGUGGCCUUGCUAUAUGGUCUGCACCUUCAGCUUGGUUCAGUUCAAUGCAGGUUGCUGGCCGAGCCAGGCCGGCCGGGUAUAAAGCACACGCUCUCACCGUCUCUCCCUCUAAUGUCCAUCUCCCAGUAACUGCUUGCCUACGUAGCCACUUUAGCACCUACAAGUCGCUCUCUUAAUAAGCAUCUCUUAGUGCUGAUGGACGCGGCUCUCGUUCCUCUCCUCGUCUCUCUCGUCCUGACCGUGGCGGCUGCCCCGGCGGCAUCCGCGGCGCCGCGGGUCUUCUUCGUCUUUGGCGACUCCCUCGUCGACAAUGGCAACAACAACUACCUCCUCACCACGGCGCGCGCCGACGCGCCUCCCUACGGCAUCGACUUCCCGUCGCACCGCGCCACGGGCUGCUUCUCCAACGGGCUCAACAUCCCUGACAUCAUCAGUAAUGCAUGCAUUGCCUUCAACGGGUUCAGUAUGCCACAUUGCCACGUUCAUAUUUCUGAGUUCUGACGCUGGCCGUCAUCAAAAUUGCUUGAUCAGGUGAGCACCUCGGGGCGGAGCCUGCAUUGCCGUACCUGAGCCCCAGGCUCCGGGGCGCGAAGCUGCUUGUGGGCGCCAACUUCGCGUCGGCCGGCGUCGGGAUCCUCGACGACACGGGAGUGCAGUUUGUACGAGAAUGCCGCCUCAGCACGCUCGAUUUAUUAGAGAUCAUCUUGCUUUAUAUCCAAACUUUGACGAUAAAUCUAAUUUGCGAUCGACCUGUGCGCAUGAUCGAUCGGGCAGGUGAACAUAAUCAGGAUAGGCGACCAGCUGCGUUACUUCGGGGAGUACCAGCGCAAGCUAAGGGCUCUCGUGGGCGAGGAGCGAGCGGCGAGGCUCGUGAAAGGGGCUCUCGUGCUCAUCACGCUGGGAGGCGACGACUUCGUGAACAAUUACUACCUGGUGCCCAUGUCCUUUCGAUCUCGCCAGUACUCGCUGCCGGAAUACGUCCGGUUCAUCGCCUCCGAGUACCGCAAAAUCUUCGCGGUAAGUGUCUUUGCUUACUGAUUUACAGCUGAAGUUUUUCUUUUACUACGUAGUAUUCCCCCUGUCUCUGUGUGUGUGUAGGAUUCGAUAAGAAUUAGAGCGUACAUUCAGGCGAUAGCUCCUCGAUGUAAAACUGCAAACUGACAAGGCCACCAUCAGUAUCUAGAAGGAGACAGCGAUGGUCCUUUGGUUCGUGCACAGUACAAUGGAAAGUGCAGACUUGUUGCUCUAGAUCUAGAUGUAACCUGACAUGACCAAUUUGUGCAAAAAGAAGGUAAAUCUCUGCAUAAACGGACGACUUCACUGCAGCCACUAGGCCGAUUGCAGUCCGAAAUCCAGCAACUGGUCAUGAAUUUAGAUAUUCGAGCACAUACAAAAUUAGACCAACUGGCAGCACUUCAUGACUCACCAGUACGCGGCCACCACCGCAAAACCAGUCAAAUCAACUUGCAGCAUAGUCAUAAAAACCGUGUCUCGUCUCCACGCACCUUUUGCCUCAAGCUGUAAAGUUUAAGCAUAAAUGGAGCCAGCUAGGUGUAACUGUAACGGUACACCGUGCAGGGUAAAAGACAAGCGUACCACACACAUGGCGACCGAUGAUGGUAGCUGCAGAAUUCACUCCGGCCUGAGUACUCCUGGCACGCUGCAGCAGCAUGCAUGCAUGUGCACUUGUGCAGCGGCAACAACUUGAACGAAUCCAUUUUCAUCUCACUCGCGCCGUGAUGCAUGCAGAGGCUGUACAAGCUGGGGGCCCGGCGCGUGAUCGUGACGGGGACGGGGCCGCUGGGGUGCGUCCCGGCGGAGCUUGCCCAGCACAGCCGCAACGGGGAGUGGCGCGGCGGAGCUGAACCGCGCCGUGGACCUCUUCAACCCGCAGCUGGUGAGCAUGGUGCGCGCCCUCAACCGCGACAUCGGCGCCGGGGACGUCUUCGUCACCGCCAACACCUACCGCGCCAACUUCGACUACCUCGCCAACCCGCGCAACUACGAUACAUACUCGCGGGUGUUUUGAGCUGAUCAUUACACAAUUUGGUUUGGUACGUGUUUGAUGUUUCAUUUGUGUGCGUGCAGGGUUUACGAACGUGAAGGCGGCGUGCUGCGGGCAAGGGCCGUACAACGGGAUCGGGCUGUGCACGGCGGCGUCCAACGUGUGCGCGGACAGGGAGGCGUUCGCGUUCUGGGACGCGUUCCCCCCGACGGAGCGGGCCAACCGCAUCAUCGUCGGGCAGUUCAUGCAUGGGUCCGCCGACUACAUGCACCCCAUGAACCUCAGCACCAUUCUCGCCAUGGACGGCGACGACCACCAGGACCGGCUUUGAUUAAUUAAUCCGUUAGAGUAGCUAGCUUGGCUGAAUGGCUGAUCGAUCAAGGAGUUUGAACGUUGUAGUUACUGUUCCGUUCGGAGUAUGAUAGCCUCUGUCGAUACUCGAUCGGUCUGCGUCACAGGACAAUUUGUUGAGUUUCGCGGCUUUAGAUCCACACUGAAACAGCGACAAGUAUUUAGGAACAGAGAGAGCAGUAUUAAUACUAGAUUGAUUUAAGUUUUUUUCUUAAAAAUUAAACGAUUGAAAAAUAGCCACACCCAUACUAGUUGGCUGAGUGGAAAGGAAACAGGGAACGGAGGUUAGAGUUUACAUGGUGAUUUUUCAAGGACAAAAGAGGGAAUGAGAAAAAUGGGCUGGGCGAACGAUCUUUUUACCGGCGUUGAAGAUUUAGCACCUUGCCAAACAUAAUUAAAGCACACCGAUUUUGUUGGAAACUACCACCGGGCAUGAAGCUAGCUAGGAUCACAACCUUCUGCCCAGGAGCCAAGGCACUUUAGCAGCAUACCGCGUGCAAACCUGACCACUUCACACACAAUCAGUGGCAAAAAAUACAUAUGGUCAUUCCUGAGAAGGACAUUGUAUUCCAAGUUUUGCACACACUAUCUAUCUGGCAUUCCAAUUAACACAGCGUGCAUUAUGCAUCACUUAUACAAGAGGACCAUAUUUGGACACCCACCCUUGCUGAUUUUGGUCAGGUGUCACCUUCUUGUUUAUGUACAUUAUUAAUCUCAAGGACCAUACAUAUGAGCAUUAACGAAAUGUAUACAUGCAGACGUACGUGCAGCCAAAUGCAUCUACUUGGUCUUCCCAUGGCCUCAUAUGAUGCGACGGACGUACUGCUCUGGCUGGCUGUCGUCCAUGGCGUUCACUUGGACGUGAGGUCGCCAGGUUUAUCUGGUCUGUCGUUUGGAUAAGGUGAUUGCAGGUCCUUGCUUUCUCAACUUGCAUGCAUUUAACUGAAUGAUCGAAACAGGACGGGUGGAUCAAGAUCAAGAAAAGGACGCAAGAAUAUUAACUUGCGAUUUUGUCACUUCCUACACAAAUACAUUUAAAUUUAGUUUAGCAUUGUGCGGAGAGUCAGUAUUGUGGAUAUAAAAUUUGAUUACUUUUAUGAAAGAAACAAGUGGAGUUCCUUGCAAUCCAUUCCUCUUCAGUCAUUCAGAUUUUUGUUAAUUUUACCAGCGCAGUGCAAAUUACCUAACAUUUUUAACUGCUUAGUACUAAAUUCAGACGAGACUAAGACUAGGACUUGACCAAGAGCCUGCUGAUUUUCACAUGCUGUAAAUCAGGCGAGAGGUGAGAACAGACGAUGAUAUUACUUCCUUCCACACGUGCUAUCCAGGACAAGUACUGAAUCGAUGUCGACUUUGUUCAAAUCGUGCAUUUUUGGCUGAUAGAACCUCUAGAGCCACCGUGCCACCCAGAGCGGGGGAUACCGGCCGGCCGAAGAGCUGUCAAUUCAUUCAUUAUUCAUGGUGCUCAACGGUGCUGGUAGCAUGGUCAUAUCCCCUUAGGACGUUGUAUAUAGAAAUGUAAUGGAGAAUCGCACUGUGAUCGAGAUUAACUGAUAGUCUUCUGUAUAAUUGAAGAAUUCAAAGAAACUUAUUUUAAAUCAUCAGCCUCCAGACGAGUGCACGAAUUGAAAACUGUCCCAACAACCGAACAUUGACCAGCUAUUUCCUGAGAAAGGGUACCUGAUCAGACAUUCGCCGGCGGGAUCAUGCCAAAGACUCCUAACUACCCAAAGAAGAUGGACCUUUUACCAGACAAUCGGUGAGUUGGUAUAAGUUAUUCACUUAAAAAAGGCAUGCGAGGCAAAAUGAUAAGAUGGCUGGAACUAAGAAAACAAAGAGCGAGACCAAAGACCAAGCAGAUCCGCGGAGUCACCAACCCUCAAUGCCAAGCACCAACCACAGCCCGCGCGACCGAGGCACCGAGCAAUACCUAUCACGAAGUUUCCACGCCGCUGGCCAACUAACCUCAGAAAAUAAUACCCAUUUGCACACGCAACACUCGUGCUGCCUGGCCUUGGUGGUCUGGUCACCUCACCACACCUCGUCGUCUUGCACCUUCCCCUCCCAAACAGCAAGCGCGGUCCCUAUUUAAACCCAGCCUCCCCAUCCAUUCUCCCCAAGAAGAGCUGCAACAUCUAAGUCAUACUAGCUCUUCAAUCUGCACAACGGCACAAGCCUCUGUAGUGCAGAGAACCAAUACAUUCCAUACUCGCCACAUUCUUCAGCAUAGUGCUUCAGUUAAUUGCUCUCUCUGCAGCUGCGUGCAAUGGAGUGCGAGAACGGCCAAUUUGCUGCCAAUGGCACUGGUCUCUGCAUGGCGACGCCAAGCGCUGACCCACUUAACUGGGGAAAGGCGGCGGAGGAGCUGACGGGAAGCCACUUGGAUGAGGUGAAGAGGAUGGUGGCGGAGUACCGCAAACCUGUGGUGACGAUCGAGGGCGCCACCUUGAGCAUCGCCAAGGUUGCGGCGGUGGCCGCAGCUGGCGAGGCGAAGGUGGAGCUCGAUGAGUCAGCUCGUGAGCGCAUCAAGGCCAGCAGCGACUGGGUCAUGAAUAGCAUGAUGAAUGGCACCGACAGCUACGGUGUCACCACCGGUUUCGGUGCCACAUCCCACCGGAGAACCAAAGAGGGUGGCGCUCUCCAAAGAGAGCUCAUCAGAUUCCUCAACGCCGGUGCGUUUGGCACUGGCUCCGAUGGCCAUGUUCUGCCAGCUGGGGCAACACGUGCUGCAAUGCUUGUCCGCAUCAAUACUCUCCUUCAAGGAUACUCUGGCAUCCGGUUCGAGAUCCUUGAGGCCAUUGCCAAGUUGCUCAAUGCCAAUGUCACACCGUGCCUGCCACUCCGGGGCACAAUCACCGCAUCGGGUGACCUGGUCCCGCUUUCUUAUAUUGCUGGUCUCGUCACCGGUCGGGAGAACUCCGUGGCAGUUACACCAGACGGCAGGAAGGUGAAUGCCGCUGAGGCGUUUAAGCUAGCUGGCAUCCAUGGCGGCUUCUUCGAGCUGCAGCCCAAAGAAGGUCUUGCCAUGGUGAAUGGCACAGCUGUGGGCUCUGGUCUUGCAUCGACUGUGCUCUUUGAGGCAAACAUUCUUGCUGUUCUUGCCGAGGUGAUUUCUGCAGUGUUCUGCGAGGUUAUGAAUGGCAAGCCGGAGUUCACCGACCAUCUGACCCACAAGCUCAAGCACCAUCCCGGACAAAUAGAGGCUGCUGCUAUCAUGGAGCACAUCUUGGAGGGAAGCUCCUACAUGAAGCUUGCGAAGAAGCUUGGUGAUCUCGACCCACUGAUGAAGCCAAAGCAAGAUCGGUAUGCACUCCGCACUUCCCCUCAGUGGCUCGGCCCGCAAAUCGAGGUUAUUCGUGCUGCGACCAAGUCAAUUGAGCGUGAGAUCAACUCCGUCAAUGACAACCCACUCAUUGACGUCUCCCGCGGCAAGGCGAUUCAUGGUGGAAACUUCCAAGGUACACCCAUUGGUGUGUCCAUGGACAACACCCGCCUCGCUCUUGCUGCCAUCGGCAAGCUCAUGUUCGCUCAGUUCUCGGAGCUUGUGAAUGACUUCUACAACAACGGUCUACCAUCCAACUUGUCUGGCAGUCGCAACCCAAGCUUGGACUAUGGCUUCAAGGGCGCCGAGAUUGCUAUGGCCUCUUACUGCUCUGAGCUGCAGUUUUUGGGUAACCCGGUGACCAACCAUGUCCAGAGCGCCGAGCAGCACAACCAGGACGUGAACUCUCUUGGUCUCAUCUCCUCAAGGAAGACCGCCGAGGCUGUAGAAAUCCUCAAGCUUAUGUCCUCAACAUUCUUGGUUGCCCUCUGCCAGGCCAUUGAUCUCCGUCAUAUCGAGGAGAAUGUCAAGAUUGCCGUCAAGAGCUGUGUGAUGACAGUGGCCAAGAAGACUUUGAGCACCAAUUCCACCGGUGGUCUUCACGUUGCUCGCUUCUGCGAGAAAGACCUGCUCCAAGAGAUUGAGCGUGAGGCGGUGUUCGCGUAUGCCGAUGAUCCCUGCAGCGCCAACUAUCCACUCAUGAAGAAGCUACGUAGUGUGCUCGUGGAGCGCGCCCUAUCCAACGGCAUGGCUGAAUUCAAUGCAGAGACCUCUGUGUUCGCCAAGGUUGCUCAGUUUGAGGAGGAGCUGCGCACAGUGCUGCCUAAGGCGGUUGAGGCCGCACGUGCCGCUGUGGAGAGUGGCACGGCUGCAACACCCAACAGAAUCAAGGAGUGUCGCUCAUACCCUCUGUACCGGUUUGUUCGUGAGGAGCUUGGAACUGCAUACCUGACUGGCGAGAAGACACGAUCACCCGGAGAGGAGCUGAACAAGGUGCUUGUGGCCAUCAACCAAGGAAAGCACAUCGAUCCUCUGCUCGAGUGCCUCAAGGAGUGGAACGGCGAACCAUUGCCCAUCUGCUAAACUGGGAAUAGAAGGAGUGCUUCUGGGUGCUGAUUAUUUUUCACGUUCUUAUGCCAAUCGUUCUUUGUUGUAAACCUGUCAUGAGCACAGCAGCAAGGCAGGUGCCUAACUGUAAGUUCCAGAACUGGGAUAAAUUAUACUCUUGCUUUGGCAUUCUCGUUGUUUAAAAGCUUUCAGUGUUCAGACCGUCUAGCCGUCCAGGGUCCAGGCACACUGCACUUGGCUAUUUGGGUUGCACAGAUUCCACUAAACCGUACACUAGUCAUCAACCUAUACACGCCUGCAAGGGCUAGCUAUUUUGCAAAACAUAUAAAAUAGUUAAGGUAAUUCAAGAACAUGUGUUUUUUGAGCAAAGUCGGGAGGGGAGGCCCCUACCUAAUUUUUCCUAGAAGUGAACCAAAUCGGCUCAUUCAGUAACAUGUGUUGAAUGCUGCAUAUUCAAUUACGUUGGAAUUAGGAUUAGAGGAAAAACUUGAGCAUCUUUCGAAACAUUAUUUCUAAAAGCAUGUGAAAGUCCUCCUAAGUUGACUACGAACAUGACAUACCAAAGCUUAACAAAAAUAAAGUGGCCCAUAAUGGGCCAGCCCUUCCAUCAUAAAUUAGUGAAAGAUUAUAAUCUAAAACAACCAAGAAGCCUGACAAGAGGUAUCUCAGUAUAUAUGAGACUGAAAACUAUAACUUAGCCCAUUCACAUAGCAGUAUGUAGGCCCUACAAUAUCUAAAACUAAGCAUCUAAACGGUCAAAUUAAUCUGUAGGUUUUAUGACAUGUCGGCUCAAAGCCUCCAACACUUCUAGGUAACAAAGAUUUUACAGUUUCACAGAAGACAAGAAGAUGCAUAACUCAUGCAGCUAAAAGAACAAAGGCACAUCAAUGUUUUCUUACGGACUGAAAGGCAACUACUCUUAUCAUGGAUACACGAUAUACCUCAAUUUUAUAUGCAUAAUGAAGGCGCCAUCUUUGUGGAUAGUUCAUUCUGUACUUCCAUUCCUCCUUUGAACAUCUCCUAAUACUCCUGCAAAAUUAAAAAAAAUUAAGCACCCACGAUCACAAGUAAAGCUCCCAGCAAGUUCAACAAAAUGCCAGCAAAGUUCAUUUCUAUUUACUGGAAGUAAAUGUUCUUCUUGCUCUCAAAACCAGCAAUGGGCAAUAAAGUGUACUAGGAGGAUUUGCAAAUGUUUUCUUUUCAGUUUCAAAGAAUCACGUAGGCUGACAGCAUAGCUUAAUUUUUGAAUCAUGGUUGUUAAGACAAAAAGAUGAGGCGAAAGACAAAGAGAAGAAAACAUAAGCUUGUUCUAACAUGCUGACUGGAUAAAGACUAUAAUGAAAUAACAGAAAAAAGCGAUGUUUGACAUCAGGUGCUCUCAUGCUUUGACCUUCAGCAGCUCUGCCCGCAACCAGGGGACUCUUUCCGUUCCUGGUUUGCGGAGGCGGCGGAGCACCAGCUCUUCCAAGGUCAAAUGCACCCGCUCCCUUAUCAUCCUGACCUUGUGGCACUUGUGGAAACUCCGCGAUGACUGUGUUUUCAAUGCCACCUCUCUCGACAUCUCAUCACUUGUUGAACUGAGAUCUUCACGGAGAUCCGGCUUUGGAUGGUCGCUGGUGCGAAGGACCUUCGUAGGCUGCCGCAUCAUUGCAGGCCUCCUGACUACUUGCUAAUUAGCUAGCGUACAGUUGUCUCUUUUCUUGUUUUCAGCCUUCUUGUUUUGCCUUGCUUUUGCACACAUAGUAAGAAUUUGGAAUAUCUGCUUUGUAAUGAAAAUGACACACACUUGGUGCGGUUCGAGAAAAAGAAAACAGAAAAAACAUGAUGGACACUUCAUGAUGACAGGAUGUCACUAUGAAACGCUAAAUUUGGAAUAUCCAGUCAUUUUGCACACAUAGUAAGAAUUUUCCUUGCAUGUCAAAUGCCAGGAAAACCAGCAUUUACCCUUUAUUAGUUUACUAGGAGUACCUAUUGUGAAGUGAAUACUCAAUGGUCCUAAAGAUAUAAUCCCCAUUCUAGUUCUAGUCUAUGAAAUAAACCGGUAUAAAUAACAUCCAACCAAACAUAUAUAACGUAAAAAAGGCUGGAAAGUGCAUCUUUUUCAAAUCAAUUCCACCUUGCACCCCUGGCAAACAGAACAAAAACUCCUUGGGUGGGAAUUUCAUCGAGCACCUAGCAAACAAAUCAGAGUAAAACCUGAGAAUACAACAUCAUGUCAUGUAGCAAUUCCUAAAGGGAACCAAGCAAAAUUGAUAUCUGCAAAAAGUAAAUCGUGGAUCCAAACCCUCUCCUCUCUUCAGCCACAUGGCAAGAUCAAUGGCAGCGAGGCUCGUCUUCGCUCUCCUCCUCCUCCGUGCCAUCGCCUGCUCGCUGCCGGCCAGCAGCACAGGCGAAGAGCAGGAGGCAGAUAAGAUGGCCCAACUUCCGGGGCAGCCGGAGAGCCCAGGCGUCACACAGUUCUCGGGUGACACUUCACCGUCGACGAGCGGCACGGGAGGGCGCUCUUCUACUGUGGUUCUUCCGGGCGCAGGCCCAAGCAGAAGCCCAGGUAAAGCAGAGGAUUUUUCAAAAAAAAAAAAAGUAAAGCAGAGGGGGUAUCGUCCAUGGUAUCUGCCCUUCUUUAAGUGUCUUAUACUCGGCAGAAUUUUUUUUUAUGUGACCAACUGACAACGUUUUCUCCUGCUUUGCUUCUCUCUUCUUUGUGUCGGUCCCACCGCAGACCAAUUUUAGAGGGUCAAUUGUUUCUUUUGUACUAACUAGCCAGCGCUGCCACGGCCCGCCGCGAUCCUCUACGCUCGUAUUUCUGGCAUUUUUUCACAUGUUGCAAGAGAUAAUUUCUUGGCGUGAAAUUUUAACUUCAGAAGGUACAAUAUUACUACAUCUGUCCUUUCAGCUCCUUAUGCUUGUUCCUGCGCGGGUCAUUAUUUUAUUUUCCCUUUUUUUUAUAUAAUUUUGUUUUCCCGUUUCACUUUGACAUGGAACUUUGUGUUCUGACAAUUGGGUUUCACUCUCAUCCGAAGCUUCAUCUAGACACAAAACUUACGAGAGUUAUGCAUUGCUCCAAGGGACCAAAUACUCCAUCCAUUUCAUAUUUUUUGUCGAAAUAUUACAUGUAUCUAGACGCUUUUUAGGAAUUGAUACAUUUAUAUUUGGGCAAAUUUGAGACAAGAAUUAUGAAACGAAGAGAGUAGUAAUCACUUUCCUAUGACAUACAUGGACAUUGCAGACAAUUUGCUUAUGGUCUAACAUAUGUGAAUAUAUUAUCAAAACAUUUGUGGUAUCAACAGUAAUAAUACGUGCAUCUGAAAGAUCACACGGGAGAAUUUGGUGCCAUAAAGACAACAUAAUAAUGCAAAUAUGCAAUCCUCUCCCAUGAUGAACAACAUGAACUGAAUAAAACCAAAUGCCUUUUUUCGAUAAAGGGAACUUUUAUUGAGCUUAAAAGUCGCAUCAAGAGGAUACAUCAAGCUCAAAGCUGCAUUUCAAAGAAUGUCAUGUGCAAGAUAGCGGGAUCUAUCAGAAUCACAAUAGUUAAACUAAUCAUACAAAAAUGGACAAAAACAUUAUUUCACAUAGAGAAUAAUUUCAAUUUCUGUAUCAAAUGGGAUUACGGCAAAACAAAAUAGUUUUCUUCAAGGCAUUAACACAAGCACAUGUUGAGCGGCAAUGCCACUUUUGUUCCAUACCUUAAGAAACUGAUGGGGCGUGGAGGGGUUCCGACGCCCGUUUGCCGUGCCGGACGGCGUCGGGGUGGGACGCAUCUCCGUUGGAUUCAAGGAGGACGACGAACUACUCGUGGGGUCGCCUUGUUCAAGCUGCUGCCACAGACCCCACCGGUGGUCGACGUCAGCAGCACGGACAGCCAGGGGAGAGGUGGAGCUGGACGACGGCCAUCGAGGAGAGGGCGAUCGUCUUGUACAAGCCCGUAGAGGCAGCGUGCAACCUGCUGCUCGGCUCGCUCCGACCGGCGUUCCUCUCCGCGCAAGCCCCGAUUGGAUCCACGGGCACAACACAAUGGUACGUAUCGCUGCUUAAUUGCUAAUUUCUUCAAGUUGCACUUAUAAUUAUAGCUCGUUUUGUUUGAGCUUCGAAUCCAAUUCAGUUCCAUUGUGAUGUACUCAAGAUUGAUCCGAUCAUGCAGACACGAUGCUGCCAGAAGAGAGAAACAAUAGGGGUCUGUUCGAGGGGCUCGCUGGAGGCGAGAGAUCCAACCCGGAUGGGAUCGUUGCUGGCCAUGGAGCCGCAACUGGCAGAAGGGGAAGGGCAGGCCUUUCUCCGUCUUCCUCCAAUCGAGGGUGCGGGAAGAAGCGCAGGGUUGAUUUCCUCGUGCGGCUUGCCAGGGCGGCCUGCUGGGCCUGACAGGGGCGUCGGGCGAGCGAUCAACGAAAGGAAAGUUUGAUAGACGACGAAACGCGUGGUGAAGAAAACGGUCCGUAUUUUUUAGAUAGGUAUAGAUUUUACUUGUUGUGUACAUGUUAUAAUGUGUCACACUCACACAUGUAAACCAAAAGAUGGUACAUAACAAAAUUUUUUUACGUAAAAACAGUCAUUGGUAUAUAAAAUUUAGACAGUACAAGAAACGUUAAAUAUACACGAAGACGCAUCAAAGUAAGUAUAUCGUGAUCUACAAUAACUAAAGUUAGUACAACAUGCCAGUACUUAUUGCAAGUACAUCAAUCAACCAUUGUGUAUCUAAAAUUUAGACAGUACAUCAUAUGUUGAAUGUACACGAGCGCAUAUCAAAAUGUGUACACCAUGGUCCAUCCUAAUGGAGGUCGGUAAAUCAUUUCAAUACUUAUUACCUCAUCCGGUUGUACGUCCUAGUACAUAGGAAAUACAUUUAGGGUACAUGUCAAGUACGAUGAAAAUAUAUCGUCAGUUUUAGGUACCUCACCAAUUUUAAGUGCCCCGUCAAUACUCGUAUACACUAUGAUUACAAUAAAAAAUAUCAAGUACUUUCUCAAUCACAGUACCUCAUCAAUUUUUAGUACCUUGUCAAUAUACACAUGAUGCUACAAUUGACAAGUACCUCGUCAAAUAUAAAUACACCACGGUACAUGAUAAGUAGCAUGUCAACUACAACCCAGCGGCAAGCGGCAGAUCCAAUAUGCAGGACCAGAAGAAAUACGCCUAAGAAAUCAAAGCAAGAUAUCAUCACGGUAGACGAAAAAACUCCUUUCAUCUGCAAAUAACUAAAGUUACCAUCAAUACAAAAUCAGUGCAAAACAGCAAAACGAAGAAGACAGAGGCGGCACCGGCGGACAGACCCUAGCCACUGGCCAGGAAUUAGCACUACUACAGAAUGGGACAUUAGUAACGGGCUAAAAACGAUAUUAGUGGCGGACGGGGCGCCCGUCACUGACUUGAUGUUACGGGCCCAACACUCGUGACUGAUAUCAGGAGCAUCAGUGGCGGUCUCAAUUCCUCGACCGACACUGAUAUUGAUUUCGAGAAUUAAAAGAAAAGCAGGCCCCAGGCCCGCGUAUUCACUGGAUCACAAAUCACACAAUUAAUUACACAACAUCUGUACAUACACAAGCAGUAUUAUGCGCUAAAUCCGACAGCAGAUAUUGCAAAACACCAAAUCUGCUUGCCAAAAUUGCUGCCUGAGCGAGCCACGAAGAAAUCUGCGAGAGUGAUCGGCCUUUAGAAUGAACCGAGAGAGGAAGAGAGAGGGAGAGAAGCAAAGAAAGGGGAAGAGUACAAACCGAGGUCGAUGGAAGCAGAUCCGGAGGCAGGCGGGCCGCGGCCGCCUCCACCAAGCGCCCUCCCCAGAAGCCCCCUUUGCGUCCACCGGCACCCACAUCCUCCGCUGCGGCGGCGGCAUCCAUGGCUGCCGCUUAUCGACCUCACCCUCGCCGCGCGCCGCAACAAGAAGCGCAAGCUCCCGGAGAAGCAGCUCCCCGACCGCGUCGCUGCGCUGCUUCCAGAGUCCGCGCUCUACACGCAGCUGCUCGAGUUUGAGGCCCGCGUGGACGCCGCGCUCGCGCGCAAGAAGCUGGACAUCCAGGAGGCGCUCCGGCGGCUUCCUCGUCCCCAAGAGGCGGCGGCCUCCUCGCCUCCCGGCGGUGGCGGGGACUGGCUGCACUCCACGGUGGCACUCCAUCUGCAGAAAUUAAGAGAGAACUCGGAGGGAGAGAGAUCAGAGAGAGAGAUCAGAGAGAGGGAGAAAGAGAGAGAUGGAGAUACUCAAGAUCCUCUGGCUCCAUGGCUGCUGCUUCUCCUGGCGCCGUGGGAGAUGGGAGGAACGGAGAGGGGCGGGCGCUGCUGUGGAGGAAGCGAGAGGGGUGGGGGCGGGGGCAGAUCGAGGAGGAGGGAGUAGAUCGGGGAGGAGGGAGGCAGACCGAGGAGGGAGGAGAUCGGGGAGGAGGGAGCCAAAUCAGGGAGGAGAUCGAGGAGGAGGGAGGGAGAUCGGGAAAUCGGGGGGGGGCGGUGUCGCCGUGAGGAGAUGUGCGGCGGGGGGAGAAGAAAUAGAGGGAGAAGAGGGGGCUCGGGGAGACGGCGCUGAGAUAGGGAGAGGGAGGAAGAGAGUAGAUAUUUAUACCGCCCACACAAACCCUAGAAAAUGUUGGGUUAAAGAGAUGGUUAUCAGUGGCGGCCCUGGAUGAAAGGACCGCCACUAAUGAGUGUUUUAGUGAAUUUUAACAUUUUUCACACUGAACCAUUAGUGACGGGCCUCCCGCGCCCGUUACUGAUGAGUGCUCAUCAGUGACGGGCGUGGUACGCCCAUUACUGAUGAGGGGUCAUCAGUGACGGUCGAGCACGCGCCCGUCACUGAUGAUGGUCAUCAGUGACGGGCAUGGAAGACCCGUGACUGAUGAUGGUCAUCAGUGACGGGCGUGAAAUACUCGUCACUGAUGACUCGUCACAUAUACACUGUUUUGUAGUAGUGUAGACAAACGAGAGAGAGAAACACUGGAGAAAGAUCGACGGGACAAGACUACGAGAGUGGAAUGCUAGAACUGACUGCCUAAUCAGAUGACAAAGGGAUUAAGAAAAAUGAAGUGGACCGUAAAUAUGGAGGUCCGGAUAACGUGAACGGCACACGAAGGUUUGGCCUGUUAGGGCAACUUCAAUAGACUGUUACUAGAGCUGAUACUAUGAGGGGAGAAAGAGGACAACAUCAUGUUAAGUAACAGCCGGUCCAACGGGAAGUUACUUCAGCUUGUUCCUAAAAGCUGAAAUACUAUUUAAAUGUUGCGGUUCAAAUACUCUUUCCAACGGCAGAUCGGAUCGGUACUAGCACCUAGGUAUCGACGACGUUACGGUUUCUUGCAGGAGUACCCAUUUUUCUCGUUUUCUCAACUUUUCUUGCCAAUGCCACUGAUAUGCUGAUGUGUCGGAGUACUCCUUCCGUCUGGUUUUAGGAGACGCGUUUUCUUUUUCACUCGUACCGAGGCUUGUUGCCACACAUGCAUGCUAGACAUAAUUAGCCUUCACGCGCAGCCCCUAAGUAACCUGUACAGCCAAUCAACAUAGCAGGCUCAGCAAGCAUUUAUGACAGUGCAUGCCAGCACCGCCUGGCCACACGAGCGUAUUGACUACUGCUGCUUGCGAGCAUUCAUGCAUGGAGACCAUUUCAGUUACUCCUGCAAAAUCAGACAAGUACAUUCAAAUUUUACGGCUCCUAAAACCAGACGGAGCGAGGACUGGUAACGGCCUAGUUGGACCACAGGAGAUCCCCUCUGCUCUUUUCCCGCCCAUCUAUUUAUCCAUCUUUUUCACUUUUCUUUCCUUCACGGAUUCACCAUUUCACCCCUCCUUCCUUCGCCCCAGUCCCCCUCGCUCGUCUUCCUCCUCGCGCACGACUGGAUUCACAGUAGCGCAAGCGCCGCCGCCGCCUCCGGUUGAUCUCCCCUUCGAUUCUAUCGCUCCCGACCGUUUCUCCUCCCAUCACCCCACGAAUUGAUUCUGCCCUGCAUCUCCCCGUUUUAUCUCCUUAAUCUCCCCUAAUUCGUAACUGAGGCAAAAAUCCGCCCUACUUUGCCCUACUGGGUACUCCGCCCGUGAUUGCAGGGGAUCAGCGAUGACGUCGAUUGGACAUCUCGGCGACCCGUACGGGCUGCGGUGUGUCUCCGACCUGCCCCCGC
rnacentral:lncRNA from 1 species